GUGCCAGCAUUACCGGGCUACUCUCUAGCAAAAUUAAAGCAGCCAUGCUGUUUUUUCCGGAUUUCAAUAGCCAUUUGGACAAAGGUGUUUGUGCAUAAACUUUUGGGCCUAAUUGGGUUGCUGGUUUUUCUUUGAAUAUUUUGAGGUGGACUAGGACCCUCAUGAUGCGGUAAAGGGGAGAAGGAUCGCAUCUCAGAGCAGAUGAUAGCUCUAGGAGUGUCAUGGGGCUGCCAUGGCUUUCAAUUGCAUCAGCUAUUCCAAGCUGAAUGGCACAUUUUACCACUGCGAUUUCGACAAACCCGAACACAUAUUUCCAGAUUUCCAGUUUGGCAUGUUCUUCUUCUUUCUCUUCUCCUCCUAACUCUCUUUGUUUAUCUUCCAUCUCUUUCUGUGUGUGUCAUAGGCUCUAAGGUAACAAUAUAUAUAAUUUGCAGGAAGAGAUUGCAGUAUGGUUACAUGCAGAACAUGUGUUGAACAGUUUAGGUAAUGUUUCAUUUUCAUUGGGAUUUUUCCCAGAUUCAGCCACUCAAUUUUAAAUGUAUUUUCAUGUAAUGGUAGACAUCUUUUGCCUUACUGGCUGGAAGGAUUUUGUCUUGUAUACAAAACAUGGUAAGCAUGGUAAGCACGCAUUGUUUAGCAGUAGCUAGUGGCAUUAUCAUAAGAAUCAUGUGUUUUUGCUGUGAGCAUAAUUUUUGCUUGUUUCUUAUUUUUGGCUUUCCAGUCAUGUUUUGAUACUCCUCUAACAUGUAUUAAAUGAAAGAAGUGAAAUGUAUGGGGUAAAGCCUCAAUAAUCAUGAGGGCAUAUUGUAUUGAUUUAUACAGUAUUACAGAUAGAGUCCUAUAUCAAAUAUGAUAAGGAUACAAUGUCAUCAGAUAACCAAGAGGAAUCCCACAUGGGAUAAACGUAAAUACAAGAUAGAAUCCUAAGGACAAUAGUCAUCUAAUACACCCCAGCAAGCUGACAGGGGAGGAACGCACUGGAAGCUUAGAGGUCAGCAGCUGGAAACGUGGAAUAGACAACCCCUUCGUAAAAAUGUUGGGAAUUUGGUCAUAAGUAGCAGGGGUGGGCACGGUUUGGUUUGGACCAGUUUUUGCCUCAAAUUAGAACCGAUCCGAUACUAUUUAACUGGUUUGGUUCGGUUCAGUUUUAAUAAAAAAAUUUCAAAAACUGUCCAGUUCGGUUUGAACCGAUUUCGAUUCGGUUCCGAUUCCGGUUCGAUUUUGAAUCGGAUCAUAAAAAUUGUUUUAAAAAAUUAUUUUUUAAUAUAAUUGUCAACUGAAAUAUUAUUUUUUUACUUGAAAAUUUACAAAUUAUUCAAUUUCAUAUAAAAAAUAAAUAUUAAAGUUAGAAAAGAGAGAUAUUUUGAAAUUGAACUUGGAUAAAUAUUAGUUUUUUUUAGUGAAAUUCAAAAUAUAGUAUUAAAUAUAAAUAUAUAUUAAAAUUAUAUAUUUUUUUAAUUUGACCGGUUCGGUUUGGCUCGGUCCGAUUUUUAAAGACAUGGAACUGGAUUCGAAACCAGUCUAAACCGGUCCGGUUUGGUUUUUGACCGGUUGUUGACUUUUUGGUCAACUCGAUUUUUUUUCAGUUUGGUUCGGUGCGGUUAGGCUCGGAUUUCCGGUUUGUCGGUUUGAGUGCCCACCCCUAAUGAGUAGCAAGAUAACGAACGUCAAGCUUCUGCCGCACAACUUUUUCACGAACAUAAUGAUAAUCAACUUCAACAUGACGAGUACGGGCAUGGAAGACAGGAUUGGAGGCCAAGGAGAUGGCGCUAAUGUUGUCACACCAAAGUUUAGGACAGGAAAGAGAAAGUUGCAGAUCACGAAAUAGUGCACGGAACCAAGAAAUCGCAGCAGUAGUAUAAGCAAGUUGGCGGUACUCGGCUUUGGUGCUGGAGUGAGAAACACCUCCUUGCUUUUUAGAACUCCAUGAAAUUAAAUUAGACCCAAGAUACAAGCAGUAGCCACUCGUGGAGCAACGAUCAUUAGGAUCACAUGCUAAAACAUGAAUAUGGUUUGAAUACUUUGGGUUGCAGUCCCCUUCUAUUGAGGGAUCCCUCAAAUAAAAUUAUUUGAGGGACGUCCUUUAGGGUACCCUACAAUUUUUUUCCCAAUGAUCCAAACCAUCUAUUUUUUAGGUCUUCAUUCAUAGAUCAUCCUUACAAAAAAUUAGACAAAUCGGAAACCGUUUCGACAUCCAAUUGUGUCUUACAAAAUCAAUGAACACGGUACUUCAAGAAAAUGCUAAAAUUUCAAUAACUUAAUUGAGUGGUCAAAUGAUAUCAGAUUCAAGUGGUUUUUUAUAAGGAUGAUCUUUGAAUGAGUAUCUACAAAAUAGACGGUUUAGAUUAGUGAAAUACAAUCCGGAGUGGGGCCUACAAGGGGUGUCCCUCAAAUAAGCUUAUUUGAGGGAUCCCUCAAUGGAAGCUCUCUGCUUUGGGUUGUUCUUUAUUCUUCUCCAUAAGGAGGUAUAUAUAAGAGUUUACAUAUGAAGGUUUUAUAAGGAAUUAGAUAUAGUAAAGAAUUAGAAAAAUAUCUCCUAAUUGUACAAUGAUUUAUCACUUGUAUAAAAAAUAGGAAAGUAAAUUCCUUAAUUAAUCAAGGAAGUAAAUCUCCUUGAUUAAUUAGGAGACUCACGUCAACACUCCUCUUCAAGUUGGUGCAUAUAUGUCACGAAUGCCCAACUUAGUACGUAAGUGAGUCAUGAGAUACUCUUCCACACUCACAGCAUAUGCAAUAUCUAAUCUUGGAGGAUGUAUGAAGAGUAGAACCUUUGGUGGUAGUGAUAGAAGAAGGAGUCUGGGUUGACCGCACGCUUCUGUGAGUGUGUAAUAAGAUGGAGAAUCGUAUGAGUUCUUGACAUCGCAGCGGAAGUGUCACAUCCCGGGAUCGACUUCGCCGUAGCACGAUAUUGUCCGCUUUGGGCCCCCCUCUCUGCCUACACGGUUUUGUUUCUGGGAGCUCACGAGUAACUUCCCAGUGGGUCACCCAUCCUGGGAUUGCUCUAGCCCCCAACUCGCUUAAUUUUGGAGUUACUACGACUCUGAAGCCAGUGAGCUCCCAAAAGGCCUCGUGCUAGAUGGAUGCGAGUGUGCACAUAUAAGGCACAUCACCCCCUUUCCGUUAGUUGAUGUGAGAUCUUACAAUCUACCCCUCUCAAGGGCCUGACGUCCUCGUCGGCACACUCGCACCACACGGCAGAGUGGCUCUGAUACCAAAUUGUCACAUCCCGGGAUCGGCUUCGCCGUAGUACGAUAUUGUCCGUUUUGGGCCCCCCUCUCAGCCUGCACGGUUUUGUUUCUGGGAGCUCACGAGCAACUUCCCAGUGGGUCACCCAUCCUGGGAUUGCUCCAGCCCCCAACUCGCUUAACUUCGGAGUUCCUACGACUCCAAAGCCAGUGAGCUCCCAAAAGGCCUCGUGCUAGAUGGAUGCGGGUGUGCACAUAUAAGGCACAUCACCCAUUCUCCGUUGGUUGAUGUAGGAUCUUACAGGAAGUAAGAUGUGAUAUGAGAAGGCGAGGAAGGUGGGAUGUGAGAAAUUUGAUAUAUGAAUUUGAUGUAGGAAUUGGAUUUAAGAUGUAUGUGUAUAAGAUUUGAUUGUAUGUGUUUAGGAAUUUGGAUAAGAGGAUUUGAGGACUUUAGAUUUGAGGGAUUUGGAUUUGGGGAAAAAAAAAGAGGAAUUUGAUUUAGGGUUUUGGAUUUGAAUAUGAGAAAUUUGAAGAAAUUUGAGCUAAGGGUUUAGAGACAAAACAACUUCUCUUCACUCCCCUUCUCCCCUUGAAGAGAAUGAGUCGUCAGAGUCAAGAAAUAAGCAACAUCUUCUUGGGAUACGUCAAUAAACAUAGCCAUUUCACACUUUUUUUUUUGGGUAGAGUUUGCCUCUCCUAAGUAUGCGGGGUGUCGCCGGUGAGGUACCCCAAUUUUUUGCGGGCAACAAUAUGCAUCUCCAUGACCUGAGACCAUAAGGCAUAAUUGGUCUCAGUCAGGAUGAUGCCGGUCGGAAACGGAGUGCUGUCACUAUGAAUAGUAACAAUUUGGGAGGAUGGUGGAGUGGAUUUGGUGGGUUCAGAAAUUGAGACAGUAUCCAUGGCAGCGGAAGGACAAAAAAUAUGUGUUUAGGAAUUGAAAGGUAUGAGGGAUACGUGUAUGGAGAUCUGAAUUUGGGAAAGAUAAAGAUGCGGAAUAUAAUGUAGGGUUUGAGUUUGAAGAAAUUUGAUAUGAGAAUUUAGAGACAACCAAGGAUCGAUUGCUCUGAUACCAUGCUAAAAUAUGAAUAUGGUUUGAAUACUUUGAAUUUUUCUUUAUUCUUCUCCAUAAGGAGGUAUAUAUAGGAGUUUACAUAUGAAUGUUUUACAAGGAAUUAGAUAUAGUAAAGAAUUAGGAAAGUAUCUCCUAAUUGUACAAUGAUUUAUCACUUGUAUAAAAAAUAGGAAAGUAAAUCCCUUAAUUAAUCAAGGAAGUAAAUCUCCUUGAUUAAUUAGGAGACUCACGUCAACAUCACCGGCAUAGUCUGCAUCAGAAUAAGCCAUUAAAGACAGGGAACUAGGUUUAUAGAACAAGCCAUGAGUGGAAGUACCAUUAAGAUAGCGAAGAAUACGUUUGACAGCAACCCAAUGAGCAGAGGUAGGUUGGUGCAUAAAUUGGCAGACGUGAUUCACAGCAAAGGCAAUAUCAGGCCAUGUGAGAGUGAGAUAUUGCAACGCAACAACGACGCUGGGGUACUCAGAAGGGUCAUCCGAUGGAGCACCAUCAUGGAGGCUAAGACGAUGUCCACUGGCAACAGGCGAUGAAAUAGGUUUGGAAUUCUGCAUCUUUGUGCGCGUCAACAAGUCCUUUAUAUACUUGGAUUAAGUGAGAGAAAGCCCGUUAGAAGUGCGAAGAAUUUCCAUGCCCAGAAAAUAAUGAACAUGCCCAAGGUCCUUCAUGAAGAAGAGACGGCUCAAGUCUUGAAUGAGUGUGGAGAUGUGGGCUGAGUUAUUGCCUGUAAUUAAAAUGUCAUCAACAUAAAUUAAUAAAUAAAGUCGAAUGAACCCAUUAAGAUAGAUGAGUAAAGAAGAGUCGGUCGUGGAAGCAAUGAAUCCCAAAUCUUCCAAAUGAGUGGAGAAACAUUUAAACUAGGCCUGAGGGGCUUGUUUGAGCCCAUACAGAGAACGCUUAAGACGACAAACAUGGUCAGGAAAUUGGGGGUGAAUGAAUCCUGUGGGCUGACGCAUAUAAACCUCCUCAUUUAGAUAGCCAUGGAGGAAAGCAUUCUGAACGUCCAACUGACGAACAGGCCAUUGAAAUUGAACAGAUAAGGCUAAGAUAAGAUGGAUGGUGGAAUGAUUUACAAUAGGGCUAAAUGUCUCGCCAUAAUCCAACCCUUCUUGCUGAUGAAAACCAUUAGCCACUAAACGGGCCUUGUAAUGUUGAACAGAGCCAUCGGAAUUGCGUUUGAUGCGAAACACCCACUUAUUCGACAAGACAUUCAAGGUGGGCUUUGGAGGAACUAGGACCCAAGUACCGGCUCGUUGAAGAGCAUUCUUCGCCCAUAGCGGUGCGCCAUUCCUGAAAUUUAUUAGCCUGACAGAAGCAAGUUGGCUUAACAAUAUCAUUAGUAGAGGCCAAGAAAGCAUGAUUUUCAUAUUUAGGAUUGGGCUUAUGAACACUAGUUUUAGCACGAGUCACCAUAGAAUGAGUAGUAGAAGUUCUUACCCGAAAAGUAGCCGAAGGUGAUGAGUGUCUUGAGGAACUUGGUAAAACAGGUUCAGGGUCAGGAGAGGGAAAAGUACGGACGGUCCUAUGUGGGGUGCGACGGUAAACUUGGAGAGAACUAGGUGGGAUCAGAUGUGGUAUUGGGCAAGGGAGAAGAUAAGUGUGGGCUGGAGGAUAUGUGGGUUGGCAAGGGUGAGGAUGGGUUGCGAGAGAUGGGCGUGACAAUUUGGUGGCCAUGGGGCUGUGAGGCAGCCAGCUGGUUGGGAAGAGACCCAAAAAUUUGUAAAUGUGGUGUAGAAUCCGUAGAAGAGGAAGAAGAAAUUGGGGCAUGAGGGCCCUUGGUCUCUUGAAAGGGGAAGCAAUGUUCAUAAAAAAUAACAUGGCGUGAUAAAAAGACUUUGUUAGUGGUCAAGUUUAAACAACGAUAACCUUGAUGAUCUAAUGAGUAGCCCAGAAAGACAUACUUAACAGAUCGUAAGUGAAAUUUAUUAGUAGUGUAAGGACGAAGAUAUGGAAAACAUGCAUACCCAAAAAUUUUAAGAAAAGCAAAGUUAGGUUCUUUAUGAAGAAGAAUUUGAUACAGAGACUGUAGACCCAAAACUUUGGAAGGAAGACAAUUAAUUAAAUAAACAGCAGUAUGCAUGGCCUCAGCCUAAUAGGCAGGAGGCAUGGCCAACAAGGUAAGGCCAGUGUCAACAAUAUGACGAUGUUUUCGUUCUACCAAACCAUUUUGUUCUGGGUGAUGGGGACAAGAAAUGCAAUGAUCAAUACCAUGGUAACCAAAAAAUUAUGAAAAAUAUGACUAGUAUAUUCAUCACCCCUAUCAGUUUGAAGAGCUUUAAUUUUUGUAGAAAAUAAAUUCUCAACAAGAGUCUUAAAUUUAACAAACAAAGAGAAAACCUCAAAUUUCAAGCGUAUAGGAAAUAUUCACGAGUAGUGAGAAAAAUUAUCAAUGAAAAGAACAUAAUAUUGAAAUCCAGAAACUGAUUUAUUAGACGAACUCCAUACAUCAGAGUGAAUGAGUGCAAGAGGAGCAUGCGUAACAGACAAAGAAGACUGAAAUGGUAGCUUAACACUUUUUCCUAAAGGACAAGAAUGACAAGUAAAAUUAUUAAAAGUCUUAGUGCCAACAAUAGACAACUUAUUUGUAGACAAUAAAAAUUUUAAAAUAGAAGACGGAGGAUGACCAAGGCGCGAAUGCCAAACAGGACCAUCAACACGUAUACCAAGAUAUGCAAGACGACCAUGAGAUGACAUGCUAGAUGGGAGAGAGUAGAGACCAAGAUUACUCAUGCCCGGAAAAGAGUCUUCCUCGUCCGCGAAUCCUGUACCAAAAAAUGAUUGGGAUAAAACGUGAAGUAACAGUUAUUAUUUCGGGAAAAUUUAUUAACGGACAACAAAUUACAAGAAGUAGUAGGGCAAUGAAGGAUAUCCAUAAGAGAAAAAAUAGAGUUGUUAAGAGGAAGACUAGGGGAGUCAAUAUGGGUGAUAGGCAAACCUAUUCCACCAAGCACACCAUCAACAGAAUCAUGGCCAUGAUAUUCUCGGGAAAGAGAUAAAUUACUCAGAUCAUUGGUGAUAUGAGAGUUGGCCUCAGUAUCCACAACCCAAUUAGGAGGACGAGGAGACGAGGAUUGUUGAGCAGUCAUGGCAGUAAGGCGUUGAGUAGGCAACCGACCUUUAUACGACAAGUUGAGACAAUUGUAGCAAUCCAAAGAAGAAUGCCCAUAACGUCCACAAAUUUGGCACUGAAUACGUGAACCAGAAAAGGGAGCAGAAGGGGAGGGAAAACCAGUAGCAGCCGCAGGAUGAGGACCCAAAACACCAAGCUGCGAAGAAGAACCACCAGGAGAAGAAGAAAAAUCACGACCAGAACCAUGAGAGGAGGAAGAUCUGUGAAACCCAGGAUGUCUAGUAGUAGAGGAAGAACCAGACCAUGAAGCAGAACCACCAAGAUGUCCGCCACGGAAAGAAAAGCUGCCACUACUGCGACUGCGACCACGAGAAGGAGCACGACCAUGGGCAGCAACCAUCGCAGUGGCAAGACCAUCAUGGGCAGGAGCAUGGAGGGCAAGAUAGCGUUGUUCAGCAGAGAGCAAGAGAGCCUCAAGAUCAGCAUAGGUAAUAAGGGUUUCACAAGCUUGAGCAGACGCAACAGUUGACUCAUAUAAGGGCCCAACAUUAUUCAUAAUGACAGCAAGAAAAUCGGAGUCAGGAAAAGGAGAACCAAAUAACUCGAGAUUGUUAAUAAUAGCAUUGACCUUGUCCAAGUAAUCAGCAACGGAGGAAUCACCACGAGCAGUACGGAAGAGUUCAUUAUGAAGUUGCAAAAUCCAAUUUUGAUUCAAAGAGGCGAAACGGUUUUCAAGAGCCACCCAAGUAGAACGAGUAGAGGUAAAACGAGUGACGGUGGCGAGAACCGUAGAACUAAGAGAACCAUUGAUCCAGGAUAAAACCAAUUGGUCUUGCUGAAUCCAAGUAUCAUAAGCAGGAUUAAUGUCAUCAGUAAGCUUGCCCUUGUCAUCCUUAAGAAAUGGAGAAGAAGCGACAGCAGCACUGUUGACGAAGGACAUCAUGUUGCGACUCUUGAGGAGAGGGAGAAUUUGGGCCAACCAAAGGGGAUAGUUAUUGCGAUCAAGCUUGAUAUGAGCAGCUUGAGAGACAGAGGGAAAAGCAGCAGCGGAAUUAGAAGAAGAAGCCAUGGGGAAAAGAAAAAAAAAAGAUAGAUAGAAGAGAAUUUUCAGACUGUAAGUCAAUAGGCUCUUGAUACCAUGAAAGAAGUUGAACGUAUGGGGUAAAGCCUCAAUAAUCAUGAGGGCAUAUUAUAUUGAUUUAUACAGUAUUAUAGAUAGAGUCCUAUAUCAAAUAUGAUAAGGAUACAAUGUCAUCAGAUAACCAAGAGGAAUCCCACAUGGGAUAAACGUAAAUACAAGAUAGAGUCCUAAGGACAAUAGUCAUCUAAUAUUAAAUGUGAGCAUCCAACCCGAAAUCAAUUGACCAUGGAUGGAGAGACCCAAAAUCUUUUAUACCAUUUGACAAGGCUUUUAUUCUCCGAUGUGAGAUUCACACUCUCAAUCAACACAUACAACCUUUAUCUACACACAAAUCGGAGGAACAACUAUUGAGCUAUAUGAAUUGAAUUGAAUCAAUACAGAUGAUACAGUAUUCUGCAGAAAAACUCUAUUUGAUUUUGCUUAGCUUCCAUCCAUUGGCUCUGUCUCGUAAGUCGUAAGGACAUUGAAAGACAAACUCAUGGAAAGAAAGACAUUGGAGGGCUGUGAAUCACAUAUAUGUAUACCUUAAAAAUCAAAGCAUGUGUUGCUCGAAAACAUGCCUACUAGUAUUGGGAUAGAAAGAUAUGUAGCAGCCACAAUGCAUUUGCUUAGAUUUUAUUGCCAACCAUCUAAAGAUUACAAACUGCAAGAGCAGUAGGCUUAUUAACACAACAAUUUUGACAAUGAUGCAACAGAUAAAGACCAAAAGGUAACUUAAACAAUACAAUCAAACAGUACUAAUUUGCAAAAACAAAUCCAUAUCCAUAAAUUUUUGUUCUCUAAAUUUAAGGAAAAGCCUGAAUAACGGAUUGGACAGCAUGAAUAGGUGUGAUAGUGUGUCGGCUGAAGCCAGCUUCCCCAAGAACAUAUCCCCAUUCCUUCAAGGUCCUUUCUUUUCCUGUGUUUGUAUGGGCCAUCAUCACCAUGUCUAGCAUCAAUCUCACAUUUGUUAGUUUGAUGUCCUCUUUCUCAUCUUUUUCAUCAAUAACCGCUUCUACGAUUAUCACCUUCCCUUUAUUCUCCGGAAUAGCUUCCCUGCACUUCUUAAGGAUACGGAUGCACUCAUCAUCGCCCCAGUCAUGAAGAACCCACUGCAAUUCACGAAAACAGAAUCAGAGUAUCCAUUGCAAAAACGCCUUGUUGAGCAAGAAAAAUUAUAGCAAGAUAAUCAGGGAGUGAUGGCAGAGGAACCACAUUUUUUCUUAUCCCAUUAGCGCAGACAAAUGAUGUAAUAAGCAGACAUUAACAGACAAAUCAAAUGAUGAAACUAAUAGCUCACAGGAUGAAUGAAAAAUAUAAACGUGUUGCUGCUAGCUAUUUUAAGGCUGCUCUUCCUUAAAUGGUUUAGUUUUCUUGAUUUCUUUUAACUAUAUACAUAUAUAUAAUAACCUUCAUAAUUACAGCAUCAGCCUUUGGAACACUAUCAAACAUGUCACCUCCAACAUUCUUAAUGUGGUCACACUCCUGAGCAACAGACACAACAUGAGGAAGAUCAAAGUUGAUGCCUUGGACCCAAGGACAUGCCUCAACCAACAAGCGCAAAGUAGUCCCAUCACCCCCGCCCACAUCUACAAUUGUCGCAAUCCCUUUGAACACCUCUAAACAACUUUCAAUCACUGCAGGCACCGCCACCCUUGCAUCACAAGCCAUUGCUUCGUUGAUAAGCUUGCUGUGAUCAGGAUUGGCUUUGGCAUAGCUCCAUACAUCCUCUCCAUGUACUGCUUCAAAUGCUGGAUUGCUAAUACCUUGAAUUCGAGCACUUAGGCCAUGCCAUGGUGCCAGCAUUACCGGGCUACUCUCUAGCAAAAUUAAAGCAGACAUGCUUGUUUCUCCGGAUUUCAAUAGCCAUUUGGACAAAGGUGUUUGUGCAAAAACUUUGGGGCCUAAUUGGGUUGCUGGUUUCUCUUUGAAUAUUUUGAGGUGGACAAGUACCCUCAUGAUGCGGUAAAGGGGAGAAGGAUCACAUCUUAGAGCAGAUGAGAGCUCUAAGAGUGUCAUGGGGCUUCCAUGGCUUUCAAUUGUAUCAGCUAUCCCGAGCUCAAUGGCGCAUUUCACCACUGCGAUUUCAACAAACCCGAAAACAUAUUUCCAGACAUCCACUUUGGCAUGCUCUUCUUCUUCUUCCUCUUCCGAUCUUAACUCUCUACUUUGUUUAUCUUCCAUAUCUUUGUGUGUGUGUGUUUGUCCUAGGGUCUUAGGCGUAUAUGUAAUUUGCAGGAAGAGAUUGGAGUCGAAUGUGCUUAACAUUUAGAAAUCUGUCACUCUCAUUCAAUAUUGAACAUUCAAUUUUGCAGUAGAUCAGAGCUGGGGCCAAUGCAGGGAGUGGAGGUAGCAGCUGCUUUUGCAGUUUUAAAGCCAUUCAAAAGUGAUUUGCUCCUAAGAAAUCAACAAGAUUCACUUUUUUUUUAAUUGAAAAAAUCUGCUUCCAAAAGUGAUUAUCGUAAGAACCAUCAUAUGUGAUUCACCUCUUAUGAACAUUAAGAAGUUGUUGGGGAAUUAAUUGCUUCUAUAAAAGGCCAAGAACAAUCCAGCCUAGUAACACUCUCAAAAUCAAUCCCAAGUCGUCCAGAACAUAUAUAUUUUUCUCAUGAGAAUUUAUAAAAUGAUAAAAAAGAGAGACAACAUUUAAUUUAGUAGGUAAACAUAAAAGCAUACAACUGUUCAAAAUUUCCUCUUUAAGUUGAUGAUAAAGUGGACCCUGGAAAAUAAAUUCAUUUUGCACAUUUCUUUACGCCAGGGAAUCUUGUUUUUCCCAUAAACGGCUCCCUGGAAUUCACAUCUAGUAUCUCAACCACAAACACUCGUAUUCAUUUCCUUCAAUAAUGCCUCUAUGAGCGGUGAAAAUUAUACGAUAUGAAAAUCAAAUCAUUUAGAAAAAGAAUUGCAUACAAGAAACUAAUGAACUAGCACGAAAAACACAUGGCAUGGUUGGUCGGGAAUAGCAAUUUUGCUAUCCCUUCACAAGCUUGAUAUUUUUCUCUUUCUCAGGAUGUUUUCACCAGUGUUACAAAAUACACAAUGACUGGUUUGCAAUUGAGAGUAAAAUUUGAAGAUUUGGUGGGGCGCGCCAGGCCCAUGCAGUAGUGCAACGCUUGGGCGACGCACGAGAGCCCCAAUAGCAAGCUACUGUUGUGGACCCUCCCCCUAAAGAAAUUAAUUUAAUAUUGUGUGGACCAUUGGUCCACCUAUCAGAUAUUAAAUUGAUAAGAACAUAUACUAACUUGAUCUUAGCCAAAAGGCCGAGAAAGGUAUGCUUUUUAUAUUCUCUUGUUUCUCUUUUUAUAGGGCCUUUCACUUCCAUACGUCCUUGGUCUUGUUACAAACAGUUAAAAGGUGUACGAACGAAGGCUGAGGGGUAAGGGCUGUACCUGUGAGUGUGUGACUCGCACAAACAGAGAGCAAAAUUGAUUUGGUUUAUACGGACUGUAUUCUCAUAUAAGAGAAGCAAAGGCUGCUUGCAAUUUGGGAAAAAGGUAUGCCAAGCUUGGUAUCUGUACUAACUAUUUGUCGUUCCAAAUUUGCUUAACAAGUUCAUCACACUUAUGCUAUAAUAACACAAGUGAAAACAAUAUUUUCUUUGUGUUCAUUCUUUGUCAUACAAAUUCUUCAUCUAUUUUCUAAACUUGAACCCAUCAGCACCAAUAUUAAUGCCGAACAAAUCCAAUUAGCACUUUUCAUCACACAAUGAUACAAUACAAGUUUCAAAGAGUGGCUUAUUUAUCAGUCCAUCAUUUAAUUCCUUUAAAUUCGCAAACUUUAAAUCCACCUAAGUGCUUGACAUUAGCUCACGUAAUAAGGGUGGGUGAGAAAAUGAUUUAAGAUUAUGAUAUGUAAAUAGUUUGCUACUUUCUGAUUGUAGCACAAGAAUUUAAGGCAAUAUUCGCUAUUGUUUUGGCAAGAAGCAACUGCAAAACAAAGCCCCGAGUCACACUGAUGCCAUAACGAUCUAACUUGAAAGCAUACAUAGCCAUUUGCGGAAGAGACUGAAUCCAAACUUUUUGGAUUUUGAGGGUGACCAAUGUUAACCAAUGGAAAGAGGGAAAUUUGCCUCCAAAACCCAGGUUGGAAAGAGGGAAAUAAACUUGGCAAUCAAAUGUUCAAUAUCAUGGGACUAUAUUUAUAGGGCCUUACUCGGAAGAGAGAGCCCUUCCAGAAAUUCUCAAGGGCACAUGGCUGAACCAAGGCCCAAGAGGGGGUUUGGAAAUAGUUUUCAACCAGCAAUAGACGCGCCUCGGUUGAAACCUCAUAAGCUGCGUCAUUGCCCCAAGCGCAAAGAUACUUCAAUCAUUGGCUUCCGCUCACUUUUAUCCCACUACAGCAACUCAGCCUUUUCUGCUCUAUAUCCAUGUGGGACUACAACUUCUUCUUUUACAAUUGAGAAUUACAGCAUCGGCCUUUGGAAUACAAUCAAACAUGUCACCUCCAACAUUCUCAAUGCGAUCACACACCUGAGCAUUUUUUUUCUAUUAAUAUUUCUCUCCUUUUUUUUUUUCUUUUUUUUUUUUUCUAAUUUGUUUUGCAGUUGCUUCUCACUCACCCUUAUUACGUGAGCUACUUUGAAGCUUGUAUUGUAUCAUUGUGUGAUGAAAAGUGCUAAUUGAUUUUUAAGGUAUACAUAUAUGUGAUUCACAGCCCCAAUGUCUUUCUUUCCAUUAGUUUGUCUUUCAAUGUCCUUGCCACUUACGAGACAGAGCCAAUGGAUGGAAGCUAAGCAAAAUCAGAUAGAGUUUUCUGCAGAAUACUGUAUCAUUUGUAUUGACUCGAUUGAACUCAUUCCAAGAGCACAUUGUGGGAACCGAAUUAAAUCAAACCCUAGGUCAAAUAAUUCCUUUCAUUUGGGGAUUAUUUGACCUAAUUGGGAAUUAAUCAACCUAAUUGGGAGUUACUCAAUUUAAUUGGGGAUUACCCAAUUAAAUGGAAUGUUACCUAAUUAGGUUGAGAAUUGAUUUGAUUCCUACCACAAUUCCCAAUUAAAUGAGGAGUUACCUAAUUAAAUUAGGAUUUGAUUUGAUACCUACCACAAUUAGGGAUUUGAUUUACCUUAAUAAAUCAAAUCCCGAAUUAAUCAAAUCAAUUCCAAAUAGGGGAGAAAUAAUUCCCUUCUAUCUACGAAAUUAUUCCUCUGAAACCCUAUACUCCAAGACCAUUAUAAAAAGAAAGCCACACACAAGGGUUGAGGUAUGUCUGAAAUCUCUAUUGGAACUCUGCAGAAAAUUCCUCUCACAAACCCUAGCCACCUCUUCUCUCUCUCUCUCUCUCUCUCUCUCUCUCUCUCUCUCUCUCUCUCUCUCUCUCUCUCUCUCUCUCUCUCUCUCUCUCUCUCUCUCUUUUACAUAAGGCUUUGGCUGCCCGAUUUACACCACAAACAUAUCUCUGUACCCUAUUAGCUAUUGUUUUCUACACGAUUCAAUUGAACUAAUUUAAGCAUCGGAGGGCCUUUGGCCAACACCCCCUGGGUGUGGUCCUCUUAUUUGUUAUAUUUUGUAGGGAGAAAGAGACGGCGAAGAAGAAUGAGGAAUCUUUCUAAUCGAAUAUUCUCGUGGAGAAAUUUGCUCCCACAUACAUUAUAUUAUAUAGCUCAGUAGUAUAGGCUAAGCUCUCUGCUAACAAUUUAACAAACUGUUAACCUUCAAACUAACCAAAGCAUCUGAUAUAGAAUCAAUGAUAUGGCAUAAUCAGGACCAUUCACUUACUGCUAUUAAUAGAGUUGCUUAGAUCAUGCUGUUUUAAUACUUGUAGCCCUCCACACAAGUCAGAAUGAAAUAUUAAUGGAAGGUCUAGCAAUGCAUGGCAAACAUCAUGUAAAAGCAGAACCCGAUCGGAAGGAAGGGUAUUAAAACACGAUUGAAGAAACAAAAAAAAAAAGUUACUCUCCAAACAAAACAUGUGUCAUGAAUUCUACUAAAGUUUCACUGAUAUCUGAGUUCAUGGCUAUCUUUCAAGCUGAAUCAUUCGGCUAUGAUUUGAAUAACGCAUAGUCGAUGAUCUGGAAAAAGUAAAAGUUGUCUGAAAUGGAAGAAUUUCUUAAACACAUGACAAGUAUUGCAAACACAAGCAACGUAAUACAUAACUAAAACAUGACAUGUAACACCCUGACUCCAAAUUUAAUUACCCAUUUAAUUUAUUUAAGUGAAUUUACGAAUUUACCCUUGGGGUAGGGGUAGUAUGGUCAUUUUCUUAUUUGGAAAGAGUUUGGGGCAGUGACUGGUAUUUUUGGGUUGGUCGUAUUGAGAUGAGUCCAUAGACACACUGUAGGCUUGAAUCGGAGUUGUAACGAAGAAACAGCGAUCAAAAUACUUCCAGUGGCAAAACUGUAAAUAUUUCGAAAAGAGUUAGUAAAAAUCAGAUUUUUCACCCUCCUUCUCUCUCCUCACACGCACAGCUCUCUCUCUCUCUCUCUCUCUCUCUCUCUCGCUCGGCCACAGCAAGGGCCGAGACCGGUCCCGAUCGAUUCCUCUCGAAGCCCCAAACCCGAAACACCAGUUUUCCUGGUUGGAAAACCCGAGUUUCGCCGCUGGUUUUGACAGACGGUUCGGCUUGGCUAUACUAUUGUUUAAAAAAAAUUUAAAAAUGGAGAGAAGUAUAGCCGCUCGGCUAUACUGUUUUUGUUUUAAAAAAAAAAGGAAAAAGGGUAUAGCAGCAUGGCUAUACUUUAAAAAUUUAAAAAAAGAAAAAGAAAAAAGUGAACCCUACUAGCGGAUAGGCGGCCACCUGUCUAAAUAAGUAUAGCCGGUCGGCUAUACUAUUUUGUAAGAAAAUCAGAAAAGACCGAGUAUAGCCACUCGGCUAUACUAUUUAUCGAAAAGUCAAUUUUGAAGUAGGUAAAACCUGGGGCCAAUGCAGGGAGCAGCGGUAGUGCCUUUGUAAUGCAACAGCUGCUUUUGCAGUUUCAGAAGUGAUUUACUGCUAAGAAAUCAACAAGAAUCACUUAUUUAUUGAAAAAAUCAGAUUUGAAAACUUAUUUUCAAGAGAUUAUCAGGAUGUGAUUCAAGUGGCCUAUUGAUAUCCACUCAGUUCAUACUCAUGCUUUUCUGAUUUUUACCUUUGCAUUAUCAGGCAAAUACAAAAGCAUACAACUGUUCAAAAUAUCCUCUGUGCACUGUGAACGACUUCUUUCACGGAAACCCUACCUGCCUAAUAUUGCACAUCUCUUUCCUUCACAAAUGGCUUCCUGGAAUUCACAUGUAUUAUCUCAACAAAAAACACUCGUAUUCAUUUCCUUCAAUAAUGCCUCUACGUAAUUAGCAGUGCGAUAUGAAAAUCAUAUCAUUUAGGAAAUUGCAUAUAAGAAAAUAAUAAAUCAAGUUCAUACAUGGUCAAUGGGAAUUCAAUUGUUACAAAUAUGGAAAGUGAUUCACAAACUUUAAUCACAGUAUUGCAAGGAUUCCGAUCUCCUCAUUAGUGUCCUUUUUUUUUUUUUUUUUUUUUUUUUUUUUUUCAGGUGAAUGAAAGCAAACUACUCAGAGUGAUUUAAACAAACCAUCCGAGUCUCACGAACAGCCAACAAAUCGUCCUAAAGUUUUGAAACACUACACACAGGAGCAUAAUCAAACGCACAUAGGGCCAAAUCGAAGUUAUAGCUCAAGUUAGCUAUACAAUCAGCCACCCCAUUCUUCUCUCUGUAAACAUGGAGGACUGAGCAGUUACCAAUCUGUUUUGGAUAAGGAGAACAGCUGCAGCGGAAUCCAUUUCAAUCACAAGGUUCCUAAUACCUUUGUCAAUCACAAGCUGCAACCAAAGAAAAGCCCCCAAACUUCAGCUUUCCAAAUUAAAUUCACUCCUUGGUUAAGUUUAAUUGACAUCUCCUAAUUCAGGGUGUGUACAACAGAAACACAGCUUGAUUUCUUAGGGUGGUUUCUCCAGUGUUACAAAAUACAGAACAGUAGUAGGCUUUGAAAUUGCGAUGACACCUUUGAACUAGAUUCGGUGGGGUGCGCCAGGCCCAUGCAAUAGUGCAACACUUGGGCGAUGCGCGAGAGCCCCAAUAGCAAGCUACUGUGGCGGACCCUCCCCCAAAAGAAAUUAAUUUAAUAUCGUGUGGACCAUUGGUCCACGUAUCAGAUAUUAAACUAAUAAGAACAGAUACUACACUGGAUCUUAGCCAAAAGGCCGAGAAAGGUAUGCUUCUUCUCUUCUCUUCUUUCUUCUUUUAUAGGGCCAUUCACUUCCAUGCUUCCUUGGUGAAGCCGAUGUGGGAUUGUUACAAACAGCUAGAGGGUGCCACGAACGAAGGCUGAGGGAUAAAGAUUUUUUUAAUCGAAUUGUACUAGAAAUUAUGGAAAGAUGCUUGCAGGAACAUCUAACUCAUUCAAUAUUGUAUUAUAGUAUAAAUUAAUAUUAUAGUAUAGAUUUUUUUACAAAAUUCUUCCAUUUCAGACAACUUUUACUUUUUCCAGAUCAUUGACUACGCUUUAUUCAAAUCAUAGCAAAACAAAGAUAGCCAUGAACUCAGAUAUCAGUGAAACUUGAGUAGAAUUCAUUAAACAUGUUUUGUUUAGAGAGUAACUCUUUUUUCUUUUUCUUUUUUUCUUUUGUUUCUUCAAUCCUGUUUUAAUACCCUGCCGAUCGGGUUCUGCUUUUACAGGAUGUUUGCCAUGCAUUGCUAGACCUUCCAUUAAUAUUUCAUUCACUUGUGUGGAGGGCAACAAGUAUUAGAACAGCAUGAUCUAAGCAACUCUAUUAUUAGCAGUAUAUGAAUGGUCCUGAUUAUGCCAUACCAUUGAUGCUAUAUCAGAUGCUUUAGUUAGUCAGAAAGUUAACAGUUUGUUAAAUUGUUAGCAGAGAGCUAAGCCUCUACUGGGCUGUAUAAUAUACUGUGCUCUUGUAAUGAGUUCAAUCGAGUUAAUACAGAUGAUACAGUAUUCUGCAGAAAACUCUAUCUGAUUUUGCUUAGCUUCCAUCCAUUGGCUCUGUCUCGUAAGUCACAAGGACAUUGAAAGACAAACUAAUGGAAAGAAAGACAUUGGAGUGCUGUGAAUCACACAUAUGUAUACCUUAAAAAUCAAAGCAUGUGUUGCUCAAAAACAUGCCUGCUAGUAUUGGGAUUGAAAGAUAUAUAGCAGCCACAAUGCAUUUGCUCAGAUUUUAUUGCCAACCAUCUAAAGAUUACAAACUGCAAGAGCAGUAGGCUUAUUAACUGAACAAUUUUGACAAUGAUGCAACAGGUAAAGACCAAAAGGUAACUUAAACAAUACGAUGGAACAGUACUAAUUUGCAAAAGCAAAUCCACACCCAUAACUUUUUGUUCUCUAAAUUUAAGGAAAAGCCUGAAUAACGGAUGGGACAGCAUGAAUAGGUGUGAUAGUGUGUCGGCUAAAGCCAGCUUCCCCAAGAACAUAACCCCAUUCCUUCAAGGUCCUUUCUUUUCCUGUGUUUGUAUGGGCCAUCAUCACCAUGUCUAGCAUCAAUCUCACAUUUGUUAGUUUGAUGUCCGCUUUUUCAUCUUUUUCAUCGAUAACCGCUUCUACGAUUAUCACCUUCCCUUUAUCUUCCGGAAUAGCUUCCCUGCACUUCUUAAGGAUACGGAUGCACUCAUCAUCGCCCCAGUCGUGAAGAACCCCCUGCAAUUCACGAAAACAGAAUUAGAGUAUCCAUUGUUAUAACACCUUGUCGAGCAAGAAACCUUAUAGCAAGAUAAUCAGGGAGUGAUGGCAGAGGAACCACAUUUUUUCUUAUCCCAUUAGCACAGACAAAUGAUGUAAUAAGUAGACAUUAACAGACAAAUCAAAUGAUGAAACUAAUAGCUCACAGGAUGAAUGAAAAAUAUAAAGAGAUAUUUAGUCAUAUAUCAAUUCUUAGCACUAAUGACAUAGAUAGAGAUUUUCUAUUUAAACCCCACACUUCUCUUUGUUCACCUCAAUACUUAAAUCAUUAAGCUGUAAGUUUUAUUAUUGUGUAAAAAGAAACAUACACCAUUUAAUUACGAUAAACAAACCAAAAAAAAAAAAAAAACCAAAAAAAUGACAAUUGACCCUAUUUAAUUUAAUUUUAAUUAUUAAAUUACUUUGAUGUCCUAUUGAGUAUUUUGAGUUGUUUAUAUAUGAGGUUUUAGGGUUAGGCUUGUUUUAAGAAAUCGAUGACAGCUUUGUAAUUUAUAAGAAAUUAAAGGACUCUUUGUUAUGUUGUAAAUGGGCUUUAAGUGUGUUUCUAAAGUUCAUAUAUGAGUCUUUUUAUAAUUUUAGCACCUAUAUUGGGUAUAAUAUUGAAUCUUCCAAAUAUAAACGGGUUGCUGCUAGCUAUUUUAAGGCGGCUCUUAAUGGUUGAUUUUUCUUGAUUUCUUUCAACUAUAUACAUAUAAUACAUAUAUAUACUAACCUUAAUAAUUACAGCAUCAGCCUUUGGAACACAAUCAAACAUGUCACCUCCAACAUUCUCAAUGCGGUCACACUCCUGAGCAACAGACACAACAUGAGGAAGAUCAAAGUUGAUGCCUUGAAUCCAAGGACAUGCCUCAACCAACAAGCGCAUAGUACUCCCAUCACCCCCGCCCACAUCUACGAUUGUCUCAAUCCCUUUGAACACCUCUAAACGACUUUCAAUCACCGCAGGCACAUGCACCCUUGCAUCACAAGCCAUUGCUUCAUUGAAAAGCUUGUUGUGAUCAGGAUUGGCUGCGCCAAAGCUCCAUAGGUCCUCACCAUGUACUUCCUCAAACACUGGGUUUCUAAUAUUGCCUUGAAUUCGAGCACUUAGGCCAUGCCACGGUGCCAGCAUUACCGGGCUACUCUCCAGCAAAAUUAAAGCAGCCAUGCUGUUUUGUCCAGAUUUCAAUAGCCGUUUAGACAAAGGUGUUUGUGUAUAAACUUCGGGGCCUAAUUGGGUUGCUGGUUUUUCUUUGAAUAUUUUGAGGUGGACUAGGACCCUCAUGAUGCGGUAAAGGGGAGAAGGAUCACAUCUUAGAGCAGAUGAUAGUUCUAGGAGUGUCAUGGGGCUGCCAUGGCUUUCAAUUGCAUCAGCUAUUCCAAGCUGAAUGGCACAUUUUACCACCGCGAUUUCAGCAAACCCGAACACAUAUUUCCAGAUUUGCACUUUGGCAUGUUCUUCUUCUUUCUCUUCUCCUCCUAUCUCUCUUUGUUUAUCUUCCAUCUCUUUCUGUGUGUGUGUCGUAGGCUCUAAGGUAGCAAUAUAUAUAAUUUGCAGGAAGAGAUUGGAGUAUAGUUAUAUGCAGAACAUGUGUUGAACAGUUUAGGUAAUGCAAGGGCAAUCCUACCCUAAGGGCAGGGAAGGCAGCCGCCUACUCUAUUUUUUGCCAAACCAAAAAUUACCCAAUACCCAAUACAAUCAAAUUUCUUCUGCCUACUAAAAACCUAACCCUAAUGUAUCAUUUUGAUUGGGAUUUUACUACUAUCGGACACCCAAUUGAAGGGACUUAUGUGUUUCUUUUUCUCUUUUUUGGGAAUAAGAACGUAUGAUCUGGCUUAUUUUUUUUUUUUUUGGGUAAAGUGGGGGGUAAACAUCCCAGAACAAAAGAAACUAUUCACUCUGGUCUAAACAGACUAAUCUAGCUUUAGGAAUAUCUGAAGUAUCAUCAGCUAAACAAGAACUGACACAACUAUGAGCCGUGUCAAGAAUGAACAAGCCCAAAAUCCAAGUUAUAGCUCUAGUUGGGAAGACAAUCAUCAACUCCAUUCUUCUCUCUAUACACAUGCGUGAGGGUGAAAUUACCAAUUUUUCUCAUCAGUUCACAGCAGCUAUCAACCAAGGCUGCCAAAGGGUGCAAACGAAGCAGAGAAGGCUGCAGGCAAAGCUUCACAGCGAUAGCGCUACCUUUUCAGUUUCUAUUGUUUUGAUUUAUUUUUUUAAAUUAAAUUAAUCAAGAAAAGUGGAAAGUUUGUUAAGUUAAUAAAUAGAAUAAGGCUAAAUCAUGAAAAAUCUUAUUAAAGCAUUAUUUCUCUCCCAUAAUAAUGUCAUCAAACAAAUAAUAAAUAAAUAAUUAACUAUAGUUAAAUUCAUGGACAUGUGUAAUCUUUUGAGAAAAGUGGUGUGGUGAAGGUACAUCUUGGUUAAAGUGGUGAGCAAAAAUGCUCUCAAAAUUGUUGGGAUUACAUCAUGAUAAGAUAUGCCACGUGGAGUAAUCAGAAAUCUAUAGGGCUAAUUAUGUGCCGACACGUGGAUAUCAAAAAUCAAAUUCUCAUAUAAGAGAAGCAAAGGCUGCUUGCAAUUUGGGAAAAAGGUAUGACAAGCUUGGUAUCUGUACUAACUAUUUGUCGUUCCAAAUUUGCUUAACAAGUUCAUCACACUUAUGCAUAAUAACACAAGUGAAAGCACUAUUUUCUUGGUGUUCACUCUUUGUCAUACAAGUUCUUCAUCUAUUUUCUAAACUUGAACAAACCCAUCAGCACAGAUAUUAAUGCCGAACAGAUCUAAUUAGCAAUUUUCAUCACACAAUGAUACAAUACAAGUUUCAAAGAGUGGCUUAUUUGUCAGUUCAUCAUUUAAUUCCUCUAAAUUCACAAAAUUUAAAUCCUCCUAAGCGCUUGACAUUAGCUCACGUAAUAAGGGUGAGUGAGAAAAUGAUUUAAGAUUAUGAUAUGUAAAUAGUUUGCUACUUUCUCAUUGUAGCACAAGAAUUUAAGGCGAUAUUUGUUACUUGAGAAAGAGACUGAAUCCAAACUUUUUGGAUGUUGAGGGUGACCAAUGUUAACCAAUGGAAAGAGGGAAAUUUGCCUCCAAAACCCAGGUUGGAAAGAGGGAAAUAAACUUGGCAAUCAAAUGUUCAAUAUCUUGGGACCAUAUUUAUAGGGCCUUACUCGGAAGAGAGAGCCCUUCCAGAAAUUCUCAAGGGCACAUGGCUGAACCAAGGCCCAAGAGGGGGUUUGGAAAUAGUUUUCAACCAGCAAUAGACGCGCCUCGGUUAGAACCUCAUAAGCUGCGUCAUUGCCCCAAGCGCAAAGAUACUUCAAUCAUCGGCUUCCGCUCACUUUUAUCCCACUACAGCAACUCAGCCUUUUCUGCUCUAUCCAUAUGGGACUACAACUUCUUCUUUUACAAUUGAUAAUUACAGCAUCGGCCUUUGGAAUACAAUCAAACAUGUCACCUCCAACAUUAUCAAUCGAUUGCACUCCUGAGCAUUUUUUUCUAGUAAAAUAUACUCGGUUUUAUUAAUAUUUCUCUCCAUUUUUUUUCUAAUUUGUUUUGCAGUUGCUUCUCACUCACCCUUAUUGAGCUACUUCGAAGCUUGUAUUGUGUCAUUGUGUGAUGAAAAGUGCUAAUUGGAUUUGUUCGGCAUUAAUAUUGGUGCUGAUGGGUUUGUUCAACUUUAGAAAAUAGAUGAAGAAUUUGUAUGACAAAGAGUGAACACGAAGAAAAUAGUGCUUUCACUUGUGUUAUUAUAUAGUAUAAGUGUGAUGAACUUGUUAAGCAAAUUUGGAACGACAAAUAGUUUGAGUAAUUUUUGGUUGUAUUGGAUAUUGGGUAAUUUUUGGUUUGGCAAAAAAUGGAGUAGGCGGCUGCCUACCCUACCCUUAGGGUAGGACCGCGCCUAGUGGGUUGGGUUUGAGUAGGCAGAAUAAUUUGGUUGUAUUGGGUAUUGGAUAAUUUUUGGUUCGGCAAAAAAUGGAAUACGCAGCUGCCUUCCCUGCCCUUAGGGUAGGACCACUCCUGCAUUACCUAAAUUGUUCAACACAUGUUCUGCAUCUACCUAUACUCCAAUCUCUUCCUGCAAAUUAUAUGUUGCUACCUUAGAGCCUACGACACACACAGAAAAAGAGAUGGAAGAUAAACAAAGAGAGUUAGGAGGAGAAGAGAAAGAAGAAGAACAUGCCAAACUGGAAAUCUGGAAAUAUGUGUUCGGGUUGUGAGAAAACUAGAAUUGUAUUCUCAUUUCAUUUAAACAAUAAUGAUUACAUUGAAUUGUUUAUAUACACUUGAAAUAAGAUAGCUGUACAAAUGACAGCUGUACAGUUUGUUAAAGCAAAGCUAAACAGAAAUUAACAACUUUGUGAUGAACGGCUAGCAUUAGAUGAUGAACGACUAGGAUUAGAUGUGGAGAUAUCUCUAUCAGCCCCCCUCAAGCUGAAGGUAGUGUCACAAACGGAAAGCUUGGAUCGAAGAUACACAAAACGAGAGGAAGAUAGAGACUUUGUAAAAAUAUCAGCAAGUUGAUUAGAAGAACAAACAUAGUGAAGUCUAAGAGAACCAUUUUGCACCAGUUCUCAUGUGAAGUGAUAAUCAACUUCCACGUGUUUGGUCCUGGCAUGAAACACAGGAUUAGAAGCCAAAGAAAUAGCAGAUUGAUUAUCCACUCAGAGAAGAGGAGGAGUGCCUAGAAAAAACCCAAUGUCUUUAAACAAUUUAGCUAGAUAAACCAAUUCAGCAGCAGCUAAGGCACACUCCGACAUGUGUCAUUGAGCUUGGAAUAGCUGAUGCAAUUGAAAGCCAUGGCAGCCCCAUGACAAUCCUGGAGCUAUCAUCUGCUCUAAGAUGUGAUCCUUCUCCCCUUUACCGCAUCAUAAGGGUCCUAGUCCACCUCAAAAUAUUCAAAGAAAAACCAGCAACCCAAUUAGGCCCCAAAAGUUUAUGCACAACACCUUUGUCCAAACGGCUAUUGAAAUCCGGCCAAAACAGCAUGGCUGCCUUAAUUUUGUUAGAGAGUAACCCGGUAUAGCCGGGCGGCUUUAAAAAAAUUAAGGAAACAAUCCGGUAUCCUGUUUAAAUAAGUACAGCCAAUCGGCUAUACUAUUUUUUAAGAAAAUAAAAAAAGACCGAUUAUAGCCUCGCGGCUAGACUAUUUAUCGACCGGUCCAUUUUGAAUUAGGUAAGAGCUGGGGCCAAUGCAUGGAGUAGCGGUAGUGCCUUUGUAACGCAACAGCUGCUUUUGCAGUUUCAAAAGUGGUUUACUGUUAAGAAAUCAACAAGAAUAACUUAUUUAUUGAAAAAAUCAGAUUUGAAAACUUAUUUUCAAGAGAUUAUCAUAAGAUCCAUCAGAUGUGAUUCAAGUGGAAAUUAAUUGCUUUAUAAAAGGCCUAGUUAUGGCUUACUGAUAUCCACUCUGAUUUUUACCUUUGCAAUAUCAGGCAAACACAAAAGCAUACAGCUGUUCAAAAUAUCCUCUAUGCACUGUGCGUUGAUGAUAAGGUGGAUCCUGGAAACUAAACUCAUCAUGGCAACUUGUGAGAACAACUUCUUUCACGGAAACCCUACCUGCCUAAUAUUGCACAUCUUUCCCUUCAAUAAUGCCUCUAUGGAAUUAGCAGUGCGAUAUCAAAAUCAAAUAAUUUAGAAAAUUGCAUAUAAGAAAAUAACAAUACUAUAUUAUGGGCCAUCAUCAAGAACAUAUACCCAUUCCUUCAAGGUCCUUUCUUUUCCUGUGUUAGUAUGGGCCAUCAUCACCAUGUCUAGCAUCAAUCUCACAUUUGUUAGCUUGCUGUCCUCUUUCUCAUCUUCUUCAUCGAUAACUGCUUCUAUGAUUAUAACCUUCCCUUUGUCCUCAGGAAUAGCUUCCCUGCACUUCUUAAGGAUACGGAUGCACUCAUCAUCUUCCCAGUCAUGAAGAACCCACUGCAAUUCACGAAAACAAAAUCAGAGUAUCCUUUGUCAUACGUGUUGUUGAUUGAGCAAAAAAAAACUUAUAGCAGAUAAUCAGGGAGCGAUGGCAGAGGAACCGCACAUUUUCUUACCACAUUAUCGCAGACAAAUGAUGUAAUAGGUGGUAGACAUUAACAGACAAAUCAAAUUAUGAAACUAAUAAGUCACAGGAUGAAUGAAAAAUAUAAAGAUGUAUUGCUCACUUGCUGCUUGCUAUUUUAAGGCUACUCAUCUUUAAAUGGUUUAAUUUUCUCUAUUUCCUUUAACUAUAUAUAUACUGACCUUAAUAAUUACAACAUCAGCCUUUGGAACAUAAUCAAACAUGUCACCUCCAACAUUCUCAAUGCGGUCAUACUCCUGAGCAACAGACACAACAUGAGGAAGAUCAGAGUUGAUGCCUCAGAUCCAAGGGCAUGCCUCAACCAACAAGCGCAAAGCAGUUCCAUUACCCGCGCCCACGUCUACUAUUGUGUGAAGCCCUUUGAACACCUCUAUACUAUUGACGUGAGUCUCCUAAUUAAUCAAGGAGAUUUACUUCCUUGAUUAAUUAAGGGAUUUACUUUCCUAUUUUUAUAUAGUUGAUAAAUCAUUGUAUAAUUAAGAGAUACUUUCCUAAUUCUUUACUGUAUCUAAUUCCUUGUAUAGCACAUGUAAACUCUUAUAUAUACCUCAUCAUGGAGAAGAAUAAAGAUAACCUACUACAUUCAAACAAUAUUCAUAUUUUAGCAUGGUAUCAGAGCCUGGUUGGAAGGUUGAUAUAUUUAGCUCACACAAGACCAGAUAUUGCAUAUGUUGUGAGUGUGGUUAGUCAGUUUAUGCAUUCACCCAGUGUGUCUCAUAGGAAUGCAGUUAAUCAGAUCUUAAGAUACUUAAAGUCAGCACCCAGGGAAGGGUUAACGUUCUCCAAAAAUAGAGAUCUCGAAGUUGUUGAAUAUACAGAUGCUGAUUGGGCUGGCUCCGUUACUGAUAGACGCUCUACUUCAGGUUACUUCACUUUUGUGGGAGGUAACCUAGUCACUUGGCGGAGUAAGAAACAAAAUGUAGUUUCUCCAACUAGUGCUGAAGCAGAGUAUCGAGGAAUGGCUCAAGGAUUUGUGAAUUACUAUAGAUAAGAAGACUAUUGACAGAAUUGGGGUUCAAGCCAUAAAAGCCAAUGGAGUUACAUUGUGAUAACAAGUCAGCCAUCGAUAUUGCCCAUAAUCCAGUUCAACAUGAUUAAACUAAACAUGUUGAGGUGGAUAGACAUUUUAUCAAAGAAAAACUUGAGAAGAAGAUCAUCCACCUACUAUUCGUAAAAUCAGAAGAUCAGUUGACAGAUAUCUUAAUCAAAGCUGUUUGUAGAAGAGUAUUUUAUGACUCACUUACCAAGUUGGACAUUGGUGACAUAUAUGCACCAACUUGAGGAGGAGUGUUGAAGUGAGUCUCCUAAUUAAUCAAGGAGAUUUACUUCCUUGAUUAAUUAAGGGAUUUACUUUCCUAUUUUUAUAUAAUUGAUAAAUCAUUGUAUAAUUAUGAGAUAUUUUCCUAAUUCUUUACUGUAUCUAAUUCCUUGUAUAGCACAUGUAAACUCUUAUAUAUACCUCUUUAUGGAGAAGAAUAAAGAUAACCUAAUACAUUCAAACCAUAUUCAUAUUUUAGCAUAUACAACUUUCAAUCACUGCAGGCACAACCACCCUUGCAUCACAAGCCAUUGCUUCAUUGAAAAGCUUGCUAUGAUCAGGAUUGGCUGCGCCAAAGCUCCACAGGUCCUCACCAUAUACUUCCUCAAACACUGGAUUUCUAAUAUUACCUUGGACACAGGUCCUCACCAUGUACUUCCUCAAACACUGGAUUUCUAAUAUUACCUUGGAUUCGGGCACUGAGGCCAUGCCACGGUGCUAGCAUUACCGGGCUACUCUCUGGCAAAAUGAAAGCAGCCAUGUUGUUUUGUCCGGAUUUCAAUAGCCGUUUGCACAAAGGUGUUUGUGCAUAAACUUUGCGGCCUCAUUGGGUUGCUGGUUUUUCUUUGAAUAUUUUGAGGUGGACUAGGACCCUCAUGAUGCGGUAAAGGGGAGAAGGAUCACAUCUUAUGAUAGCUCUUGGAGUGUCAUAGGGCUGCCAUGGCUUUCAAUUGCAUCAGCUAUUCCAAGCUCAAUGCCACAUUUAACCACUUGCGAGUUCAACAAACCCGAACAUAUAUUUCCAGAUUUCCACUUUGGAAUGUUCUUCUUCUUCCUUUUCUCCUCCUAACUCUCUUUGUUUAACUUCCAUCUCUUUGUGUGUGUGUUGUGCCGUAGGCUCUAAGGUAGCAAUAUAUAUAUAAUUUGCAAGAAGAGAUUGGUGUAACACCCCGACUCCAAAUUAAACCCCUUAUUUAAAUUGUUUAAAUUAUUUAAGGGAAAUUACAAAUUUACCCUUGAGAUAGGGAUAUUUUGGUCAAUUUCUUACUCGGAGCGAGUUUGGGGCAGUGACUAGUAUUUUUGGAUAGGUCGUACUGAGAUGAGUUCGUAGACACGUAGUGGGCUCGAAUCGGAGUUGUAACGAGAGAGAUAUGGUCAAAAGAAUCCCAGUGGCACAAUCGUAAUUAUUUUGAAAUGAGAUUUUUAUAAAAAAUCAGAUUCUUCUCUCUCUCUCGCUCCCGCGUGCUCUCUCUCUCCCCGUCGGUCCCUCUCUCUCUCCUUGAAUCUCCGGCCACCGGCCACGGCUGAGGACGGGACUGGUGCCAAAAGGACCGGUUCGGCCUCGGCGUCACGACCCGGCCCUCCCCCGACAUCGGCCGCCUCUCCAACCGCCGAAAAAAGGCGAUUUUUGUCCGGUUUUCCCUCGAACUUCGCUGGCUCUGAUCUCCUUCCUCCGGCGGCCAUUUUUGGCAAUCAGGGUAUGAAAAUUCAUCCCUUCUUCAUGUUCUAGCUGCCUGUUGGGUAGAUUGGAUCGAUUCUUAGCGUAGGCAAUUCGAUUUUUGAAUUGAAAUUUGGCUAGUCUUGGGAUCGCGAUUUCGGCCACUUCCGGUCAGUUUUUGGGGUAGGUCAAAAGUGGUUCCAAAUAUGGUGUUAUACCUAGGGUAGGAGUUUGGAGCAGUGGUUUUGAGAUUUUCUGGCGAUGCGUAAUCGCUUUGGGCACCCAGCUUUGCCGGCGCAUGGGCGAGGGUAGUGAAGUUGCACUGUGUCUCGAUGAGAUCCUUAGGUUGUCACAAGUGCGUAGGAUUUCGCGGAUCUCAAUUCGGACGUCGUUUGACUAUCGAACGGAUAUCGCCUAUUGCGUGUUAUCCGGGUUCGAUAGGUUAGGACCGUUGGAUGAUCUUAAAUUUAAUAUAUGUUAAUCUAGGUAUUUCUAGGAUCGUGUAGAAUUUCAUGGAUUGUGAAUCGGAGCCCCGAAUGUUCCGAUUUAUAAAUAUAAAGUUUACGUUUUAUAAUAAUCGUCAGAUCGUGCGAUCGUGAGCGAUUCGACCGUCCGAUCUGGACCAAACUUGCACGACGAGUGUCCUAUACCUUGUAGAACCCAUAGGAACUUUCGGAUCGGAAUUUGGAGGUCGUGUGCCCCGUAGGCCCGUUUGACCAGGGUUAGGGUAGUUUGACCCUUAGUUGACCGUGAGUCUCUUGAAGUAAUCUCACCUUCCCAGGGGGAUUAUCGGGUGCUAGACUAUGGUUGAGGUUUACACAAUAUUUGAAGUAAAUUAUAUACUUAUAUAUGUUUGUAAAGGUAUAAAAGGAGUCUAGAAUGUUAGUUUGAAGUGCUAUACGCACUACCUUAGGUACCAUCCCGGAUUUUUGGUCACACUACAAGUACCACCCUGUGAAAGUUAGGUCCCACGUGGCCUAGGUUAUCCGGCGUGCGGACAGACCCCAUACGUGGCGUUGGUUGUACCGCGUAUGGGGAGAUUAUGUGAUAAUAUGUUGAGGUCGCACAUGGCGUAGGUUAUCCGGCGUGUCGACAGACCCCAUACGUGGCGUUGGUUGUACCGGCAUAUAGGGAGAUAUGUGAUAUGAUGUGCAGGUCUCAUGUGGCAUAGGUUAUCCGGCGUUGAGACAAACCCCAUAUGUGGCGUUGGUUGUACCGGCGUAUGGGGAGAUUAUGUGAUAUUAUGUUGAGGUCGCGCGUGGUGUAGGUUAUCCGGCGUGUCGACAGACCCCAUACGUGGCGUUGGUUGUACCAGCGUAUGGGGAGAUAUGUGAUAUGAUGUGCAGGUCUCGCGUGACGUAGGUUAUCCGGCAUUGAGACAUGCCUCAUACGUGGCAUUGGUUGUACUGGCGUAUGAGGAGAUAUUGUGAUAGUAUGGUAUGGUCACACGUGGCGUAGGUUAUUCGGCGUGUUGAUAGGCCCCAUACGUGGCGUUGGUAGUACAUGCGUAUGAGGAGAUUAUGUGAANNNNNNNNNNNNNNNNNNNNNNNNNNNNNNNNNNNNNNNNNNNNNNNNNNNNNNNNNNNNNNNNNNNNNNNNNNNNNNNNNNNNNNNNNNNNNNNNNNNNNNNNNNNNNNNNNNNNNNNNNNNNNNNNNNNNNNNNNNNNNNNNNNNNNNNNNNNNNNNNNNNNNNNNNNNNNNNNNNNNNNNNNNNNNNNNNNNNNNNNNNNNNNNNNNNNNNNNNNNNNNNNNNNNNNNNNNNNNNNNNNNNNNNNNNNNNNNNNNNNNNNNNNNNNNNNNNNNNNNNNNNNNNNNNNNNNNNNNNNNNNNNNNNNNNNNNNNNNNNNNNNNNNNNNNNNNNNNNNNNNNNNNNNNNNNNNNNNNNNNNNNNNNNNNNNNNNNNNNNNNNNNNNNNNNNNNNNNNNNNNNNNNNNNNNNNNNNNNNNNNNNNNNNNNNNNNNNNNNNNNNNNNNNNNNNNNNNNNNNNNNNNNNNNNNNNNNNNNNNNNNNNNNNNNNNNNNNNNNNNNNNNNNNNNNNNNNNNNNNNNNNNNNNNNNNNNNNNNNNNNNNNNNNNNNNNNNNNNNNNNNNNNNNNNNNNNNNNNNNNNNNNNNNNNNNNNNNNNNNNNNNNNNNNNNNNNNNNNNNNNNNNNNNNNNNNNNNNNNNNNNNNNNNNNNNNNNNNNNNNNNNNNNNNNNNNNNNNNNNNNNNNNNNNNNNNNNNNNNNNNNNNNNNNNNNNNNNNNNNNNNNNNNNNNNNNNNNNNNNNNNNNNNNNNNNNNNNNNNNNNNNNNNNNNNNNNNNNNNNNNNNNNNNNNNNNNNNNNNNNNNNNNNNNNNNNNNNNNNNNNNNNNNNNNNNNNNNNNNNNNNNNNNNNNNNNNNNNNNNNNNNNNNNNNNNNNNNNNNNNNNNNNNNNNNNNNNNNNNNNNNNNNNNNNNNNNNNNNNNNNNNNNNNNNNNNNNNNNNNNNNNNNNNNNNNNNNNNNNNNNNNNNNNNNNNNNNNNNNNNNNNNNNNNNNNNNNNNNNNNNNNNNNNNNNNNNNNNNNNNNNNNNNNNNNNNNNNNNNNNNNNNNNNNNNNNNNNNNNNNNNNNNNNNNNNNNNNNNNNNNNNNNNNNNNNNNNNNNNNNNNNNNNNNNNNNNNNNNNNNNNNNNNNNNNNNNNNNNNNNNNNNNNNNNNNNNNNNNNNNNNNNNNNNNNNNNNNNNNNNNNNNNNNNNNNNNNNNNNNNNNNNNNNNNNNNNNNNNNNNNNNNNNNNNNNNNNNNNNNNNNNNNNNNNNNNNNNNNNNNNNNNNNNNNNNNNNNNNNNNNNNNNNNNNNNNNNNNNNNNNNNNNNNNNNNNNNNNNNNNNNNNNNNNNNNNNNNNNNNNNNNNNNNNNNNNNNNNNNNNNNNNNNNNNNNNNNNNNNNNNNNNNNNNNNNNNNNNNNNNNNNNNNNNNNNNNNNNNNNNNNNNNNNNNNNNNNNNNNNNNNNNNNNNNNNNNNNNNNNNNNNNNNNNNNNNNNNNNNNNNNNNNNNNNNNNNNNNNNNNNNNNNNNNNNNNNNNNNNNNNNNNNNNNNNNNNNNNNNNNNNNNNNNNNNNNNNNNNNNNNNNNNNNNNNNNNNNNNNNNNNNNNNNNNNNNNNNNNNNNNNNNNNNNNNNNNNNNNNNNNNNNNNNNNNNNNNNNNNNNNNNNNNNNNNNNNNNNNNNNNNNNNNNNNNNNNNNNNNNNNNNNNNNNNNNNNNNNNNNNNNNNNNNNNNNNNNNNNNNNNNNNNNNNNNNNNNNNNNNNNNNNNNNNNNNNNNNNNNNNNNNNNNNNNNNNNNNNNNNNNNNNNNNNNNNNNNNNNNNNNNNNNNNNNNNNNNNNNNNNNNNNNNNNNNNNNNNNNNNNNNNNNNNNNNNNNNNNNNNAUAUGUGAUAGUAUGGUUAUGCUCCACACAUUGGCGUAGGUUAUCUGGCGUGUGAUAGCCCCCCAUACGUGGCCGUUGGUAGUACCAUGCGUAUGAGGAGAUUAUGUGAAAUACAGAGAAAAUGAAAUUAAGUUUAUCGCUUAUGUGUGGAAUUAGGUUUUAUGGAAGAAACUACGUGUGGCUUGAAUCCCUCAGGGAGGGGUACGUAGGCAGCCAAAGGUUACUAGGUGCAGCCGCAGACUAAAUGUUUAGUCAUAUUGUUAUAUGGAGAUUAGUUCGGACCUUGUUGUUGGUCCUGAAAUUGAGGUGAAAAUGUGAUUGUGUUAGGAGGCUAAAACCUCAUAUAUUGAAAUGUGAAAGGUUAAAUGAUGCAUGCUGAAAUUUAAUAGUCAUAAUUUAUAUUUGAAUUUAUCGUUUGCCUUGCUUAAGGUAUGAAUUGAUUUGUUAGCAUACUUGGUAGUUGAGAAUUAUUGGAAAGCCGAAGGCUGUUUAUGUGAAUUGCAUGAAAUUAUAUUGUGCAUGCUGCCAAUUGUGAAUAUUAAAUUGUGUUUUAUGCAGGUUGUAAUUUUAGGAAAUGUUCAAUUUAUAGGGGAGACUCUGCUGAAAUUUCGGCAGAAAGUCUCGGUCUUUAGUAAGUAGGCCCAGCAUAAGGGUGAUGUCGGGAAUUCCACAGAAUUCACCUUGGAUUUUGAGAAAUUCGGAGCAGGUCUUUUUAAUUGGAGUUGAAAUCUUUAGUUACACGCAACAUGUGUUGAACAAUUUUGGUAAUGCAUCAUUUUCAUUGGGAUUUUUUCCAGAUUCAACCACUCAAUUUUAAAUGUAUUUUCAUGUAAUGGUAGACAUCUUUUGCCCAAUUGGCUGGAAGGAUUUUGUCUUGUAUACAAAAUUCUUUCUUUGCCAAAGUAUUUAUCAAAAAGUUUAUAGCAACUCAUCAAAUUAUCUUAUUAAGCUAUAUAUCUGAUUUAUUAUGAUUUUAAAGUUCCCAAAAUACCCCUAUUUACAAUUGAGCGUGUAAGAGGCUGGUGUUUGAAGUUUUGGACCCUCUUUUUAUUGUAGUGAUCCUCUCCAUAAUUUGUGUAUGCAAUUAAUUAUCUAUUUUGAUUAUGGGGUUAAUUUUCUUAAUCCUACGUUUUGAUUAUGGUUUUAGUUUGGAGAUUGGUGUUCUGAUUAGGGUUCCUAAAGGUGGAAAUUUGGUUGAAGUUCAAGAAAUUCCAGGUAUUGAAAUUCCAUUUGAAAAUUCCGGAGCAUUCGACACUGACUAGCAAGCGUGAGUGAUCUGCCAUCAAAUUGCAGGUAAAAAACGUCUUUCUCUUCUAUGUACAUGGAGCCCCGUUCAUUGUUAGUCCUAACCAGAGCAAAAUUGGGUAUCUGGGUAUUAGUAUAUACCUACACGAAAAAGAUGGGUUUGAUUUUUGGUUUUUUAAAACCUGGUUAUAGACCUACAGCAUACAAACUAGAGCAAAACCAGAGCAAACCUGGGUAUCUGGGUAUUAGUUUACAUACACGAAAAUAGAUGGGUUUGAUUUUUGCUGUUUUUAAAUCUGGUUUGAUUUUUGCUUUUUUUGAUAACCUGAUAACAGGUUCUGGGGGGAGAUGAUCCUGUUUUUUUAGAAUCAAUUUUUAAGUUAUAGUGAUUGUUAGUUAUAUCCUGCUAGCACAGAAAAUCACCAUCGGCACACCAUGUAGGUAAAUACUGGAUUAUGUACCUACCAGACAGCUUAUAUACCCGAUACCCAAUUUUUGCUCCUGGUUAAGGUUUAUACUUUUGUAUAGGGAUUGUUAGUUUUACCCUACCAGAAUAUACUGGGGGAGUUUUGGUUUAAUAUCGAUUGUCAUCAAAGGAGUUUUUUGCUUCUGUAUCUUUGUGCGUUUUACAAUAAGCUUUGCUAUAUAUAUGAUAACGUUUUUUUUUUCCUAUAUAUUUUUUGAGAUACUCCCGUAACUCAUAACAAUUGUGUUCUUUUUCUUUUUUAGUUGGUUAGGUAAAUUAUUCUCAUCAUUUUUAUUCUACCUAUCCAACAAACAAUGAUUUUUCUUUGCAUGUAAUAAUCUUGGAUACUUGGGUAGGUACAUUAAUGUUCUUGUGUUCUAAUAUAUGUUCAAGAUCCAAUGAGCUUGAGGUUGGGGCAUUUGAGAUGACUUACCUCGUGCCGGAUCAUCCUCCAUGUGUACUAGAGACCGACUUAGAUGUGCGUGUAAUGUAUCUGUCCUUGAUGAAUGAGAAGAAAUAUACAGUUACAAUUGCUAUUAAGGAGUUUUUAUUUCCUGAGAAGCAAAACGGUGUUGAUGAUAUGUUUUGUGGUGAUGGUAAUACGCAUAAUUGGGAAAUAUGCAGCACCUUCUGGUCAUACAUACUUGUCUCAUUCUUGGAAGAACUACAUCAAUUAUGUGGGUCAGAAUAGUGAUUGUUGUACAUGAUCCUGUUUUUUUUUUGGUUUUUUAUUUUUAUACUUCUGUAUAGUGAUUGUUAGUUGGAUGGUUAAAUUGUUGGUAGGCAAACUAGUUCACCCCAUCGUGCCUAUUGUGAGAAAGCAUGUGCACCACACUGAGAAAAAAGUGAAUGGCAGGUACCCUGCUCAUUUUUAGGUCUCUCCCAUGCUUCAUAGUGUACCUGGUUUUGGGUUUUAUUUUUGCUGUUUUUAAACCUGGUUUGAUCUUUAGUUGUGAUCCUGAUAACAGGAUCUGUUGUACAUGAUCCUGUUUUUUUUUAAGAAUCAUGAUGUUAGUUUUAUACUUUUGUAUAGUGAUUGUUAGUUGGAUGGUUAAAUUGUUGGUAGGCAAACUAGUUCACCUGAUCGUGCCUAUGGUGAGAAAGCAUGUGCACCACACUUAGAAAAAAGUGAAUGGCAGGUACCCUGCCCAUUUUUAGGUCUCUCCCAUGCUUCAUAGUGUACUCCAAAAAGAAGGAUAAAUUCCUCCUUUAUCGCCUAUGGUUGACAAUAGUUUACAGACAAAACAAAUGACAUCCACCAGGUACACCAUCAAAAAUGGAUUCCAAAUUGCAUAAACCCCCUUUUUUUACUACACCUUUGGUAAGACCCUUGCAACAAGUACGAUAUCAGCAAAUUCCAAGCAGGUGCAAAAAGUAGAAUUGGAUUGAAUAACUAGUCUGGAGAAACAUUGGUGCACUGUUGAGACAACAUGAUUUGCAUUUGCAAAAUGACAUGGUAGUAGAUACACUGUUCAUCUCCCCCACACCCCCCCCCCCCCCAAAAAAAAAAACUCUAAUUCUUACAAUGCUUGGUCAGAAAGCUUCUGAAUCAUAAACUAAAACAAAACGUAAAAACAUUUUUGUCCAACAUAAUAUCGCAUUCCAGAAAUGUAACAAAUGCCAACACACAUGCAUGUGAUAACCCCCGGGGAGUUUUAAUGUCAUCUGCAACAUAUCAUUCAUCUUUUAAACUUUUUCCAUCAUGAAGAAAUUUGUUGAUGACUUUUGGACGAUAUUCCUUCAUUGUGUUCUCUGUAAAACAAGGUGCCAUGUUCUGACACUUCGAGAUAGUUGAGACAUAGUACAUCACAGCGACCCCACAGUCGACGGUAGAAAACCCAAAAAAAGAAAAAGGAAAAAGAAUAGUUUGAUCAGGUGCAUACAAAAAGAAUCAGUUUUUCUUUUCCUCAUCCAGUUUUGAUCACACCUAUUCUGUACCUACUUCAAAAAAAUAUUGUGCCCAAUGGAAAUCUACAGUUCAAAGGAAAUUAACCGCAUUACUUACGAGUCAUCCAUUUGUUGUGGGCAAUUAGUCGAUCGCCAUAAAGGAUAGUUAACAUCAGUAGCUUUCAGCCAUUGAAACGUUUGUUUCUCACCAUUGAAACAUUCAAUCACAUGAUUCCAACUAACAAUCACUAUACAAAAGUAUAAAACUUAAAAAUUGAUUCUAAAAAAAACUGGAUCAUGUACAACAGAACAUGUUAUUAGGUUAUCAAAAGCAAUAUAUAUUAUAUGACCAAACUGUUUUGUUGAUCCACACCAAAUUUGGAACACAAUUUACCUCCAAUUAACACACAUGGAGUCAACUGUUAUCAAUAUACAAGAUUUUCUCAAAAUUAUAUAGGCUAAAAAAAACCCAUCUAUUUGGUGUAGGCAAACUAAUACCCAGAUACCUUGUUCAUGUAGGUAAACUAAAAUACUCCAGAAUUUCGUGUUGGUACAUAACCAUCACAACAAGAAAGGAGAAAAAUCUACAUAAUGAGAUAUAGAAUGAUAAAUCUGAAAUUUGAAAGUAAUCAUACUCGUUACGUAAUGCUCAUCUUAAACCCUUUUAUGAAGGGCCUACUCUACUUGUAUAGAUUAUGGAGCACCUCUAGAAUUAAUAACAUCUCCAAGUGUUAUCAGCUGGCUAAGAAGCUAGCUAGGAUACCUGUAAUCAGGUUUUGUUGGGACAUUCAGAAAAAAUGUUUUGGCUAAUGCCCCUCCCUCCAUCAAAGCAAAUGGAGUCAGGUUCAGUCUAGGACUAACUUCUCCUACAGCCCAGGUUGGACGAACUGAUGUACGAGAAAAUUCAUCAACCUGAGAAACAAAACCCUCUCAAAAGCAUUCAGAACUCUGUAUUAAUUGCCCAGGUUUUUGUCGUUUUACUAUGAAAGCAUCUAACAAAGAAAAGGAAAAAAAAUCAACACCAGAAUUUCGUGUAGGUACAUAACCAUCACAAUAGUAUACAAGAGUAUCUCAAAAAAUGAUAACCAAAACCACACUGGGACUUUCAUCAAACACGUUGUGUGCGCCAAAAACUAACAAACUAAGAGUGUGAUCAAUAUGGCACAAAUCACAAAACAAUUUCACAAAAGGAGCAAAAAUACAUAACCAGAUUCCCAAUAGGCUGUUGGUACAUAAACAGGUUUUAAAAAAACAAAAAUCAAGACCAGAAUUUGGUGUAGGUACAUAACCACUCUUCCUCUGGUUUUGCUCUGGUUAGUACUACCAAUCGAUGGGGGCUCCAUGUACGUGCAAGAGAGAGACUUUUUUUACCUGCUAUUUGACGGCAGACCACUCACGCUUGCUAGUCAGUGUCGAAUGCUCUGGAAUCGAAUGCUUCGGUCGUUCUCGUAUUCUCUUUACAACUGGGCUGAUGAAAGGAAUGCGCCUGGGAACCCAGAUUUUGAAAGACAUUAGAGGGUUUGGGGGAAUCUAAUGUUGGAGAAUCUGUGGUUUCAAUGGAGGGAAUCGAUCAAGGCUGAAAUGGUGGUAAACUGAAAAGUUUUGAAACGGUAGUUGUAAGUUUUUAGUAAACGGUCAGAUAGAUAGUUUAGAUGCGUUGUUUACCUACAAUGGCAACUAAUGUAAAUAAAUACAAUAUUAUGACCUCUUUCUUCUUAGGGGGCAUUACAAUUUGAAUUUGGGUUUUCAACGUAGUUAUAUAGAUAGAUGGGUUUGUGUCUAGGGGAUAUCAGCUGUAUGGGCUUAUAUUGGAGUCUCUCAAAAGUUUACUACGCAGUAGACAAACAUGGUAAGCAUGCAUUGUUCAGCCGUAGCUAGUGGCACAUUAUCAUAAGAAUAAGAUACAUAUGUUUUAGUUAUGAAUCUUGUUUUUUUGUUGUGAGCAUAACUUUUCUCUUUCCAAUUGUGUUUUGAUACUCUUCUAAUACUAUGUAUUAGAAUGUGAGUAUCCAACCCGAAAUCAAUUGACAAUGGAUGGAGAGACCCAAAAUCUUUAUACCAUUUGACAAGGCUUUAAUUCUCCAAUGUGAGAUUCACACUCUCAAUCAACACAUACAACCUUUACCUACACACAAAUCGGGGGAACAACUAUUGAGCUAUAUGAAUUGAAUUGAAUCAAUACAGAUGAUACAGUAUUCUGCAGAAAACUCUAUCUGAUUUUGCUUAGCUUCCAUCCAUUGGCUCUGUCUCACAAGUCGUAAGGACAUUGAAAGACAAACUAAUGGAAAGAAAGACAUUGGAGGGCUGUGAAUCACAUACAUGUAUACCUUAAAAAUCAAAGCAUGUGUUGCUCAAAAACAUGCCUACUAGUAUUCAGAUAGAAAGAUAUAUAGCAGCCACAAUGCAUUUGCUCAGAUUUUAUUGCCAACCAUCUAAAGAUUACAAACUGCAAGAGCAGUAGGCUUAUUAAAUCAACAGAUAAAGACCAAAAGGUAACUUAAAACACUACAAUGAAACAGUACUCAUUUGCAAAAACAAAUCCACAUCCAUAACUUUUUGUUCUCUAAAUUUAAGGAAAAGCCUGAAUAACGGAACAGACAGCAUGAAUAGGUGUGAUAGUGUGUCGGCUGAAGCCAGCUUCCUCAAGAACAUAUUCCCAUUCCUUCAAGGUCCUUUCUUUUCCUGUGUUUGUAUAGGCCAUCAUCACCAUGUCUAGCAUCAAUCUCACAUUUGUUAGUUUGAUGUCCUCUUUCUCAUCUUUUUCAUCGAUAACCGCUUCUACGAUUAUCACCUUCCCUUUAUCUUCCGCAAUAGCUUCCCUGCACUUCUUAAGGAUACGGAUGCACUCGUCAUCGCCCCAGUCUUGAAGAACCGACUGCAAUUCACAGAGUAUCUAUUGUCAAAACGCCUUGUUGAGCAAGAAAACUUAUAGCAAGAUAAUCAGGGAGUGAUGGCAGAGGAACCACAUUUUUUCUUAUCCCAUUAGCGUAGACAAAUGAUGUAAUAAGUAGACAUUAACAGACAAAUCAAAUGAUGAAACUAAUAGUUCACAGGAUGAAUGAAAAAUAUAAACGUGUUGCUACUAGCUAUUUUAAGGCUGCUCUUCCUCAAAUGGUUUAGUUUUCUCUAUAUAAAUAUAUAUAUAUAUAUAUACUUACCUUAAUAAUUACAGCAUCAGCCUUUGGAACACAAUCAAACAUGUCACCUCCAACAUUCUCAAUGCGGUCACACUCCUGAGCAACAGGCACAACAUGAGGAAGAUCAAAGUUGAUGCCUUGAAUCCAAGGACAUGCCUCAACCAACAAGCGCAAAGUAGUCCCAUCACCCCCGCCCACAUCUACAAUUGUCUCAAUCCCUUCGAACACCUCUAUACAACUUUCAGUCAUUGCAGACACAACCACCCUUGCAUCACAAGCCAUUGCUUCAUUGAAAAGCUUGUUGUGAUCAGGAUUGGCUGCGCCAAAGCUCCAUAUGUCCUCACCAUGUACUUCCUCAAACACUGAAUUUCUAAUAUUACCUUUGAUUCGGGUACUGAGGACAUGCCACGGUGCCAGCAUUACUGGGCUAUUCUCUAGCAAAAUGAAAGCAGCCAUGCUGUUUUGUCCGGAUUUCAAUAGCCGUUUGGACAAAGGUGUUUGUGCAUAAACUUUGGGGCCUAAUUGGGUUGCUGGCUUAUUUUUGAAUAUUUUGAGGUGGACUAGGACCCUCAUGAUGCGGUAAGGGGGAGAAGGAUCACAUCUUAGAGCAGAUGAUAGCUCUAGGAGUGUCAUGGGGCCGCCAUGGCUUUCAAUUGCAUCAGCUAUUCCAAGCUGAAUGGCACAUUUUACCACCGCGAUUUCAGCAAACCCGAACACAUAUUUCCAGAUUUGCACUUUGGCAUGUUCUUCUUCUUUCUCUUCUCCUCCUAACUCUCUUUAUUUAUCUUCCAUCUCUUUCUGUGUGUGUUUCGUAGGCUCUAAGGUAGCAAUAUAUAUAAUUUGCAGGAAGAGAUUGGAGUAUAGUUACAUGUAGAACAUGUUGGAAGUUUGAAAGCUAAUGUCCCACAUUGGAGAAAACAAAAGGUUCCAUAUGCUUUAUAAGCAUGAAACCUUAACAUCAAUUAAAUAAAGAUUGGUGGGCUGAUGAGCUUGGUAGUGAAGACUAUCAUAGUUGACUUGCUUGAUUAAUAUUAAUAUUUAAAUAAUCAAGACUUGGGCCUUGGGGUCUCUGGAAAAUAAAAGAAAUAUACCUAGUUCGAAAAUAAAAUAAUUAUUUUUUUAUUUUUCGGAUUUCUUUGGCAGAAGUUAAAUUCAAACCAGAAAGACUUAUCUUUUUGUUUGAAUUUGAACAGGUAUAACUGAUACUAACUGCUAUUUUGAAAGGGUGUAAUUCUAUUAUAAAACCACAAGUCCUAAGCCAUAAUACGGACAUCUUUUUCCUUAAACUAUCUCAUAUUAUUUUAAAGUUACCAACUGUAUUGGAGAGAAGCACACCAACGUUGGCCAGAAUUCAAGGAUCCGAUGCUGGACCCUUGAAUUAUAGAUAGUUGAAUCCUGGGAGAUAUACGCCUGUUGAACUUCAAGCACUGAGAAGAGGCGAAAUUCUGUCUUUAGGACAUUGCAAAUACGCAAGCCUCUAUCUUCAAUAAAAGUCAGUAUUCUGUACUUAAUUUAUAUUUGCACACUUAUACAGAUUUUAUAAUUUUGUUACUGUUUAUAUUUUAAGAGUUGUGCAAUAAUAUAGUGAUCCUAUAGUAUAAAACAUUUACUGAUUAUUUCCUAACAGAACAUGUGUUGAACAGUUUAGGUAAUGUAUCAUUUUCAUUGGGAUUUUUCCCAGAUUCAGCCACUCAAUUUUAAAUGUAUUUUCAUGUAAUGAUAGACAUCUUUUGCCUAAUUGGCUGGAAGGAUUUUGUCUUGUAUACAAAAUUCUUUCUUUGCCAAAGUAUUUUAUCAAAAAGUUUACUACGUAGUAGACAAACAUGGUAAGCAUGCAUUGUUUAGCUGUACGUAGCUAGUGGCAUUAUCAUAAGAUUCGAAAAUAUGGAGGGCUAAUCACGUACCGACACGUGGCUCUCAAAAAUCCUAUCUGAAAAAUUGUUGGGAGCAUUUUUUCCUCAUCACUUUAAUUCAAGCUGUGUACCCUCAUCAUUAUUCCCAAAAGGUGACGCAUGUCCAUAGUUUAACUCUUUAUUUUUUAUUUAUUUGAUGACAUUAUUAUGAGAGAGAAACAAUGGUUUAAUAAAAAAUUUCCUGAUUUACCCUUUUCCUAUUAAUUUACCCAACAAACCUUCCAUUUUUCUAUUAAUUACCAAUGAAGCGAACAAAAUCCAAAUAAUUAACAACAUCAUGACGAUCAUUACUAGAAAAAUAAUUGUUUCAUUUGACAUUGUUGAACACUUUGACUAAAAAACAAAACUCUUGAAUGCUACUCCUCCUUCAUAACCGAAAAAAAAAAAAAAAAUUCAAAUACUAAAGAGGCUUUAAUUCUGUGAUUAAUAGGAGGCUUUAAUGCCAAUUGAAUCUAUGAAAGGACCCGCCUCGAAUUUCCCAAAACCCGAGGCGAAUCCUGUGGAAUUCCAGACAUCACCCCUAUGCCGGGCCUACUUACUAACGACCGAGACUUUUUGCCGAAAUUUCGACAGAGUCUCCCCUGUAAAUUGAACAUUUCUCAAAAUUACAACCUGCAUAAAAACACAUUUAAUAACCACAACUGGCAGCAUGCACAAUAUAAUUUCACGCAAAUCACAUAAACGGCCUUCGGCCUUCCUAUAAUUCUCAACUACCAAGCAUGCUAGCAAAUCAAUUCAUGCCUUAAACAAGGCAAUCGAUAAAUUCAAAUAUAAAUUACGACUACUAAAUUUCAACACACAUCAUCUAACUUUUCCAAUCCCAAUAUAUAUGAGGUUUUAACCUCCUAACACAAUCACAUCUAUGUCCGCGGCUGCACCUAAUAACCUUAGGCUGCCUACGUACCCUUACUGAGGGAUCAAGCCACACGUAGUUCUUCCUUAAAACCCAAUUCUACAGAUAGGCAAUACCUUAUUUUAUUUCUCUGUAUUUCAUAUGAUCUCCCCAUACGCCGGUACUACCAACACCACGUAUGGGGCCUGUCAACACGUCGGAUAACCUACGCCACGUGCGACCAUACCAUACUAUCACAAUAUCUCCCCAUACGCUGGUACAACCAAUGCCACUUAUGGGGUCUGUCUCAACGCCGGAUAACCUACGUCACGCGAGACCUGCACAUCAUAUCACAUAUCUCCCUAUACGCCGGUACAACCAACGCCACGUAUGGGGUCUGUCGACAUGCCGGAUAACUUACGCCACGUGCGACCUCAACAUGAUAUCACAAUAUCUCCCCAUACGCCGGUACAACCAACACCAUGUAUAGGGUCGGUCUCAACGCCGGAUAACCUACGCCACGCGAGACCUGAACAUCAUAUCACAUAUCUCCCCAUAAGCCGGUACAACCAACGCCACGUAUGGGGUCUGUCGACACGCCAGAUAACCUACGCCACGUGAGACCUCAAUAUCAUAUCAUAAUAUCUCCCCAUACGCAGUACAACUAACGCCACAUAUGGGGUCUGUCCGCAUGCCGGAUAACCUACGCCACGUAGGACCUAACUUUCACAGGGUGGUACUUGUAGUGUAACCAAAAUCUGGGGAGGUACCUAUGGUAGUGCGUAUAGCACUUCAAACUGACAUUCUAGACUCCUUUUAUACCUUUACAAACAUAUAUAAAUAUAUAAUUUACUUCUGAUAUUGUGUAAACCUCAACAAUAGUCUAGCACCCGAGAAUCCCCCUGGAAAGGUGAGAUUACUCCGGGAGACUCACGGUCAACCAAGGGUCAAACUACCCUAACCCUGGUCAAACGGGCCUACGGGGCCCACAACCUCCAAAUUCCGAUCCGAAAGUUCCUAUGGGUUCUACAAGGUAUAGGACACUAGUCCUGCAAGUUUGGUCCAGAUCGGACGGUCGGAUUGCUCACGAUCGCACGAUCUGAAGGUUAUUAUAAAACAUAAACUUUAAAUUAUUUAAUCGGAACAUCCGGGGCUCCGAUUCACGAUCCGUGAAUUCCUACACGAUUCUAGAAAUACCUAGAUUAACAUAUAUUAUAUUCGAGACCUUCCAACGGUCCCAACCUAUCAAACCCGGAUAACGCGCAAUAUGCGAAAAUCCGUUCGAUAGUCAAACGACGUCCGAAUUGAGAUCCGCGAAAUCCUACGCACUCGUGACAAACUAAGGAUCUCAUCGAGACACAGUGAAACUUCACUACUCUCGCCCACGCGUCGCCACAUGCGACGGCAGCGCUGGGUGCCCAAAGCGAUUAUGCAUCGCCGGAAAAUCUCAAAACCACGGCUCCAAACUCCUACCCUAGAUAUAAGACCCUAUUUGGAGCCACUUUUGUUCUUGGACCUACCCCAAAAACUGACCAGAGGUUGCCAGAAUUGCCAUCCCAAAACCGGCCGAAUUUCAAUUUGUAAAUCGAAUUGGCUACGCUAAAAAUCGAUCCAAUCCUACCCAACAGGGAGCUAGAGCAUGAAGAAUGGAUGAAUUUUCAUACCUUGAUCGCCAGAAAUGGCUGCCGAAGGAAGGAGAUCGGAGCCGACGAAGUUCGAGUGAAAAACCGGGCAAAAAUCGCCUUUUUCCAGCGGCUAGAGGAGCGGCCGAUGUCAGGGGAGGGCUGUUUAAGGACCCGCCCCGAAUUUUCUCAAAACCCGAGACGAACCCUUUGGAAUUCCUGACAUCACUCCGAUGCCAGACCCAAUUACUAAAAACCGAGACUUCCUGCCAAAUUUCGACAGAGUCUCCCCUAUAAUUUGGACAUUUUCCAAAGUUUCAACCUGCAUAAAAACACAUUUAAUAUUCCCAACUGGCAGCAUGCACAAUAUAAUUUCAUGCAAUUCACACAAAUGGCCUUCGGCCUUCCAAUAAUUCUUAACUAACUAACAAACAAUUCAAAUACCAAAUAUGACUAAUAUUUAGUCUGCGGUUGUACCUAAUAACCUUAGGCUGCCUACGUACCCUCCUUGAGGGAUCAAGCCACACGUAGUUCUUCCACUAAAAUCCAAUUCCAUACAUCGGUGAUGCCUUAUUUCUUUUCUCUGUAUUUCACAUAUUCUCCCCAUACGCCGGUACAACCAACGCCACGUAUGGGGCCUGUCAACACGCCGGAUAACCUACGCCACGUGCGACCAUACCAUACUAUCAUCAUAUCUCCCCAUACGCCGGUACAACCAACGCCACGUAUGGGGUCUGUCUCAACGCCGGAUAACCUACGCCACGUGAGACCUGCGCAUCAUAUCACAUAACUCCCCAUACGCCGGUACAACCAACGCCACGUAUGGGGUCUGUCCCAACGCCGGAUAACCUACGCCACGCAGGACCUCAACAUCAUAUCACAAAUUUCCCCAUACGCCGGUACAACCAACGCCACGUAUGGGGUCUGUCGACACGCCGGAUAACCUACGCCACGUGCGACCUCAACACAAUAUCACAAUGUCUCCCCAUACGCCGGUACAACCAACGCCACGUAUGGGGCCUGUCUCAACGCCGGAUAACCUACGCCACGUGAGACCUGAACCGCAUAUCUCAUAUCUCCCCAUACGCCGGUACAACCAACGCCACGUAUGUGGUCUGUCCCAACGCUGGAUAACCUACGCCACGCGGGACCUAAUUUUCACUUGGUGGUGUUUGUAGUGAAUCCAAAAUCCGGGGAGGUACCUAAAGUAGUGCGUAUAGCACUCCAAACUGACAUUCUAGACUCUGUUGUACCCUUGUACAACCAUAUAUAAUUAUAGUUAUAUAAAUAAAUUCUAAUAUUGUGUAAUCCUCCACAAUGGUCUAGCACCCGAUAAUCCCCCCUUAUAAAGGUGAGAUUACUCCGGAAGACUCACGGUCAACCAAGGGUCAAACUACUCUAACCCUGGUCAACCGGACCUGCAGAACCCACGACCUCCAAUUUCCGAUCCGGAAGUCCCUAUGGGUUCUACCAGGUAUAGGACACUUGUCCUGCAAGUUUGGUUCAGAUCGGACGGUCGGAUUGCUCACGAUCGCACGAUCUGACGGUUAAUAAAAAAAUAUAAACUUAACAUUAUUAUUCGGAACAUCCGGGGCUCCGAUUCACGAUCCGUGAAAUCCUACACGAUCCUAGAAAUACCUAGAUCAACAUAUAUUAAAUUUGGGACCAUCCAACGGUCCCAACCUAUCGAACCCGGAUAACGUGUAAUAUGCGAAUAUCCGUUCGAUAGUCAAACGACGUCCGAAUUGAGAUCCGCGAAAUCCUACGCACUCGUGACAACCUAAGGAUCUCAUCGGAACACAUUGCUACUUUUUCUACAGUGCCCACUCGCCGCCGCACGCGCCGGCAGCGCGUGGGUGCCCAAAGCGAUAACGGUUCGCCGGAAAAUCUCAAAACCACGGCUCCAAACUCCUACCCUAGGUAUAACACCCUAUUUGGAGCCACUUUUGUUCUUGGACCUACCCCAAAAAGUGGCCGGAAAUGGCCGAUCACAGCGGUCGAAGUUUCGGCCGAUUUUCAAUUCGAAAAUCGAGUGAUCUACGCUAAGAAUCGAUCUAAUCCUACCCAACCAUCAGCUAGAGCAGCUCGAGAGGUUCAAAAUCCAUACCUGGGUCGACGGAAUUGGUGGCCGGAGGAGGGAGAUCGGGGGCUUUAAAAAUCCGACGACAUCCGGGCGAAAAUCGCCAUUUUCCGGCGGCUGGAGCGGCGGCCGAUGGCGGGGAUGGGCUGGGUUGUGACGCCGAGGCCGAGCCGGUUCUUUUGGUACCGCCCCCGUCCGCAGCUGCGGCCGGUGGCCGAAGUUACGAGGAGAAAGAGAGAGAGAGCCGACGGGAGAGGGAGAGAGAUCGCGGGAGAGAGAGAGAGAGAAAGAGAGAGAGAAAAAUCUGAUUUGAUAAAAAAUCCCAUUUCGAAAUAUUUACGAUUAUGCCACUGGGCUUCUUUUGACCAUAUCUCUCUCGUUACAACUCCGAUUCGAGCCCACUACGUGUCUAUGAACUCGUCUCAGUACGACCUAUCCAAAAAUACAAGUCGCGGUCCCAAACUCUCUCCGGUUAAAAAUAUGACUAAAAUACCCUUAAAUAAUUAAAUAAUUAAAUAAGGGUAAAAUUUGGGGAAAUUUGGGGUCGGGGUGUUACAGGCUGGGUCGUGACGCCGAGGCCGAGCAGGUCCUUUUAGCACCGGUCCCAUCCGCAGCCGCGGAGAUUUCAAGGAAAGAGAGAGAGAGAGACCGACGGGGAGAGAGAGAGAGAGAGAGAGAGAGAGAGAGAGAGAGAGAAAUCUGAUUUUUUAUUAAAAAAAUCUCAUUUCAAAAUAAUUACGAUUGUGCCACUGGGUUUCUUUUGACCAUAUCUCUCUCGUUACAACUCCGAUUCGAGCCCACUACAUGUCUACGAACUCAUCUCAGUACGACCUAUCCAAAAAUACUACUCACUGCCCCAAACUCUCUCUAGGUAAGAAAGUGACCAAAAUACCCCUAUCUCAAGUGUAAAUUUGUAAUUUCCCUUAAAUAAUUUAAAUAAUUUGAAUAAGGGGUUUAAUUUGGAGUCGAGGUGUUACAAUCUAACUCAAUCAAAUACUUUGAUCACUUAAAAAAAAUUGAUCCAACAAAAAAGGAAAUGAAAAAAUGAAAAACUUUUGGUGAGCAUGUAUAAACUCAUGAACUUUACUACUAUCGGACACCCAAUUGAAGGGACUAUGUGUUUCUUUUUCUAUCGGACACCCAAUUGAAGGGACUUUUGUGUUUCUUUUUCUUUCUUUUUUCUUUCUUUUUUUUUUUUUGGGGUUUUUUUUUUUUUGGGGUUAAAGUGGGGGGUAAACAUCCCAGAACAAAAGAAACUAUUCACUCUCAUCUAAACAGACUAAUCUAGUUUUAGGAAUAUCUGAAGUAUCAUCAGCUAAACAACAACUGGCAAAACUAGGAGCCGUGUCAAGAAUGAACAAGCCCAAAUCCAAGUUAUAGCUCCAGUUGGCAAGACAAUCAUCAACUCCAUUCUUCUCUCUAUACACAUGCGUGAGGGUGGAAUUACCAAUUUUUCUCAUCAGUUCACAGCAGCUAUCAACCAAGGCUGCCAAAGGGUGCAAACGAAGCAGAGAAGGCUGCAGGCAAAGCUUCACAGCGAUAACGCUACCUUUUCAGUUUCUAUUGUUUUGAUUUAUUUUUUAAAUUAAAAAUCUAUAGGGUUAAUCACGUGCUGACACGUGGAUAUCAAAAAUCGAAUUCUCAUAUAAGAGAAGCAAAGGCUAAUUGCAAUUUGGGAAAAAGGUAUAUCAAGCUGGGUAUCCGUAAUAACUAUUUGUCGUUCCAAAUUUGCUUAACAAGUUCAUCACACUAAUACUAUAUAAUAACACAAGUGAAAGCACUAUUUUCUUCGUGUUCACUCUUUGUCAUACAAAUUCUUUAUCUAUUUUCUAAACUUGGACAAACCCAUCAGCACCAAUAUUAACGCCGAACAAAUCCAAUUAGCACUUUUCAUCACACAAUGAUACAAUACAAGUUUCAAAGUAACUCACGUAAUAAGGGUGGGUGAGAAGCAACUGCAAAACAAAUUAGAAAAAAAUGGAGAGAAAUAUUAAUAAAAUCGAGUAUGUUUUAAUAGGAAAAAUAAUGCUCAGGAGUGUGAUCGCAUUGAGAAUGUUGGAGGUGACAUGUUUGAUUGUAUUGCAAAGGCCGAUGCUGUAAUUAUCAAUUGUAAAAGAAGUUGUAAUCCCGCAUGGAUAGAGCGGAAAAGGCUGAGUUGCCAUAGUGGGAUAAAAGUGAGCGGAAGCCAAUGAUUGAAGUAUCUUUGCGCUUGGGGCAAUGAUGCAGCUUAUGAGGUUCUAACACCCUCUGCCCUUGAGAAUUUCUGGAAGGUCUCUCUUUGGAGUAAGGGUUUAGCCGCUUGGAAGAGUAUAGCUGGUCAGCUAUACUAUUUUUUUAAAAUUAGCAAAAAAAUGGAGAGAAACAUUAAUAAAACCGAAAAUCGAAAAAAACCAAAUACAGCCGCCCGGCUAUACUAUCUAUCCAACAGACAAUUUUGAAGUAGGUAAGAGCUGGGGCCAAUGCAGGGAGUAGCGGUAGGGAUGGCAACGGGUCGGGUAGGGCCCGGGUAUGACAACACCAUCCCCGUCCCCGCUCUCCAUCCCGCCCCCGUCCCCGAACCUGUCCCCGUUUAAUAGGUUUCGGGGAAUUCUCAUCCCUUCCCCAUCGGGAACUAUCCCCCAUACCCGCCCCGAAUCCCCAAUUUUUUUUGCAUAAAAAAAUAUUUAUCAUAUAUUUUAACAUUAAGUUUCAUAUUAAAUUAUCAUUCAACACAUCCAAAUUAACUAUAAAGUUCAACUCAACUAUUCAAAAUCAUAUCAAUAUGAAGUUCCAGAGAAGAUUAGGAAUAAUUAGGAGAUGGAGGUUAACUUAGGGUUAAACAUAAAUAUUAUAAAUAUUUAUUUAUUUAUUUAAGUAUAAACAUAUAUAUUUUCGGGUCGGGUUCGGGGAUGGAGAUGCCAGUACCAUCCCUUCCCCAUACCCAUCGGGUAUUUUUCAAAUUCGGGGAUCCCCGUACCCGAUACCCGUUUAGCUCCAAAAUCUCCCCCCGUUAGGGUCGGGGACCCGCCGUUGCGGGGAUUUUUGCCAUCCCUAAGUAGCGGUAGUGCCUUUGUUGACAGCUGCUUUUGCAGUUUCAAAAGUGAUUUACAACUAAGAAAUCAACAAGAAUCACUUAUUUAUUGAAAAAAAUCUGAUUUGAAAACUUAUUUUCAAGAUAUUAUCAUAAGAUCCAUCAGAUGUGAUACAAGUGGAAAUUAAUUUCUUUAUAAAAGGCCAAGAACAAUCCAGCCUAGUUAUGGCCUACUGAUAUCCAAUCAGUUCAUACUCAUGCUUUUCUGAUUUUUUACCUUUGCAUUAUCAGGCAAACACAAAAGCAACAACUGUUCAAAAGAUCCUCUGUGCACUGUGCGUUGAUGAUAAGGUGGAUCCUGGAAACUAAAUUCAUUUGGCAACUUGCGAGAACAAUAUCUUUCACGGAAACCCUACCUGCCUAAUAUUGCACAUCUCUUUCCUUCACAAAUGGUUCCCUGGAAUUCACAUCCAUUAUCUCAACCACAAACACUCGUAUUCAUUUCCUUCAAUAAUGCCUCUAUGGAAUCAGCAGGGUGAUAUGAAAAUCAAAUCAUUUAGAAAAUUGAAUAUAAGAAAAUAAUAAUACUAUAUUUUUUAAAUCAAAAAAUCAAAGAAAACUGAGUGUAGCCGCUCGGCUAUACUAUUUAUUUUUAAAAAAGAGAGGACCAGCCUAGCGAUUGGGCGUCCACGAGUCAAAAUAAGUAUAGCCACGUGAUACUUAUAUAUUUAUUUUUUAAAUAGGGAAUACUUAUAUUUAUUUUUUAAAUAGGGAGCAAAGCUGCUGCCCGAUAACUCCCCAUCCCCAAAUGAGUUUUCACUCAUAUUUUUAGCAGUUUAGCUGUUUUUGCUAGCUUUCUCUGACACCUUUUGUUUCUGGCCUCCUAGCUUUGCGUGUGUUUCUUUUCUUCAUGCUUCGUUUGAUUGUUGCUUCUCCUUUUGUUUGUUGCGCUGGUCUGUUUUGGCUGUGUUUAUGAAGAUCUUUUUACCCAAAAAAACAGAAAAAAACCUAAAUCCCAAAAUCUGUUACGAAUGCGGUGGUGGUUGUGGCAUCGACGGUUCAUCAAGUGGUGGUGGUAGGGUUCGUUUAGGCUCAUGGGUUGUUUUAGGAUUUAUUUUUUAAAUUAAAUUAAUCAAGAAAAGUAGAAAGUUUGUUGAGUUAAUAAAUAGAAUAAGGCUAAAUCAGGAAAAAUCUUAUUAAAGCAUUGUUUCUCUCUCAUAAUAAUGUCAUCAAACAAAUAGUAAUUAAUUAAUUAAUUAUAGUUAAAUCCAUGGAGAUGUGUAGCCUUUUGAGAAGGGUAGUGUGGUGAGGGUACAUCUUGGGUUAAAGUGGUGAACAAAAAUGUUCCCAAAAUUGUUGGGAUUACAUCAUGAUAAGAUGUACGUGGAGUAAUCAAAAAUCUAUAUAGCUAAUUACGUGCCGACACGUGGAUAUAAAAAAUGAAUUCUCAUAUAAGAGAAGCAAAGGCUGCUUGCAAUUUGGGAAAAGGUAUCACAAGCUUGGUAUCUGUACUAACUAUUUGUCUUUCCAAAUUUGCUUAACAAUUUCAUCACACUUAUGCAUAAUAACACAAGUGAAAGCACUAUUUUCUUCGUGUUCACUCUUUGACAUACAAAUUCUUCAUCUAUUUUCUAAACCGAGUAUAUCCGCGUGGCUAUACUAUUUUUUAAAAAAAUGGAAAAAUCCAAGUAUAAACGCGCGGCAAUACUAUUUAUCCAACAGUCAAUUUUAAGUAGGUAUGAGCUGGGGCCAAUGCAGGGAGUAGCGGUGGUGCCUUUGUAAUGCAACAGCUGCUUUUGCAGUUUCAAAACUGAUUUACUGCUAAGAAAUCAACAAGAAUCACUUAUUUAUUGAAAACUUAUUUUCAAGAGAUUAUCAUAAGAUCCAUCAGAUGUGAUUCAAGCGGAAAUUAACUGCCUUAUAAAAGGCCAAGUUUGGCCUACUGAUAUCCAAUCAGUUCAUACUCAUGCUUUUUUUCUUUUUACCUUUGCAUUAUCAGGCAAACACAAAAGCAUACAACUGUUCAAAAUAUCCUCUGUGCACAGUGCGUUGAUGAUAAGGUGGAUCCUGGAAACGAAAUUCAUUUGGCACCUUGCGAGAACAACUUCUUUUAUGGAAACCCUACCUGCCUAAUAUUGCACAUCUCUUUCCUUCACAUCUCUUAUUUCAACCACAAACACUUGUGGAUACGACACUCGGACUUCCAAGCUACACUACUAUACAACACCUUCACUUGGGUUUUGCAAAGUGGUACUAACACUUUUUGUUCUCUAAAUUUAAGGAAAAGCCUGAAUAACGGAUUGGACAGCAUGAAUAGGUGUGAUAGUGUGUUGGCUAAAGCCAGCGUCCGCAAGAACAUAUCCCCAUUCCUUCAAGGUCCUUUCUUUUCCUAUUUGUGUAGCGGCCAUCAUCGCCAUGUCUAGCAUCAAUCUCACAUUUGUUAGUUUGAUGUCCUCUUUCUCAUCUUUUUCAUCGAUAACCGCUUCUACAAUUAUCACCUUCCCUUUAUCCGCCGGAAUAGCUUCCCUGCACUUCUUAAGGAUACGGAUGCACUCAUCAUCUCCCCAGUUGUGAAGAACCCACUGCAAUUCACGAAAACAGAAUCAGAGUAUCCAUUGUCAUAACGCUUUGUUGAGCAAGAAAACUUAUAGCAAGAUAAUCAUGGAGUGAUGGCGGAGGAACCACAUUUUUUCUUAUCCCAUUAGCGCAGACAAAUGAUGUAAUAAGUAGAUAUUAACAGACAAAUCAAAUGAUGAAACUAAUAGUUCACAGUAUAAAUGAAAAAUAUAAAUGUGUUGAUGCUAGCUAUAUUUUAAGGCUGCUCUUCCUUAAAUGGUUUAGUUUUCUUGAUUUCUUUUAACUAUAUAUAUAUAUAUAUAUAUAUAUAUAUAUAUACUAACCUUCAUAAUUACAGCAUCAGCCUUUGGAACAAAAUCAAACAUGUCACCUCCAACAUUCUCAAUGCGGUCACACUCCUGAGCAACAGACACAACAUGAGGAAGAUCAAAGUUGAUGCCUCGAAUCCAAGGACAUGCCUCAAUUAACAAGCGCAAAGUAGUCCCAUCACCCCCGCCCACAUCUACGAUUUUCUCAAUCCCUUUGAACACCUCUGAACAACUUUCAAUCACUGCAGGCACAGCCACCCUUGCAUCACAAGCCAUUGCUUCAUUGAAAAGCUUGCUGUGAUCAGGAUUGGCCGCGGCAUAGCUCCAUAUAUCCUCUCCACGUUCUGCUUCAAAUGCUGGAUUGCUAAUACCUUGAAUUCGAGCACUUAGGCCAUGCCACGGUGCUAGCACUACCGGGCUAUUCCCUAGCAAAAUUAAAGCAGCCAUGCUGUUUUCUCCGGAUUUCAAUAGCUGUUUGGACAAAGGUGUUUGUGCAUAAACUUUGGGGCCUAAUUGGGUUGCUGGUUUUUCUUUGAAUAUUUUGAGGUGGACUAGGACCCUCAUGAUGCGGUAAAGGGGAGAAGGAUCACAUCUUAGAGCAGAUGAUAGCUCUAGGAGUGUCAUGGGGCUGCCAUGGCUUUCAAUUGCAUCAGCUAUUCCAAGCUCAAUGGCACAUUUUACCACCCCGAUUUCGACAAACCCAAACACAUAUUUCCAGAUUUCCACUUUGGCAUGUUCUUCUUCUUUCUCUUCUCCUCCUAACUCUCUUUGUUUGUCUUCCAUCUCUUUCUCU
rnacentral:lncRNA from 1 species